UUUUCUUUCUUUCUUUUUUUGUGUUAAACAAUUUAUUGGGAAGUAUCUAUAUAUGUAAUCUGGUCUCUUGAAAACAAAUUACGACGACUCCGCGUUCGGUUUGUUUGUGUAUCGCCCAUGAUCUGUAUUCGGAGACAUCGAGACGAGACGAGACAUCGGACAACUUAAUGCGCGCUGCGAGAAACGGCGAAACGGUAUGAAAAAAAAAAAAAAUAAAUAAAUAAAUAAAUAAUAAAACAGUUCGGGUCGGAUGAAUUACUACACCGCUACUACUGCAUACUAUUAUUAUAUAUUUACUUUAACGUCAAAAAAAAAAAAACUACUUUUUUUUUUUAACUAGUCGUAAACAAAGUAUAUUGGUAUAAGGAAAACGUGUAUCCCGUUUAGACAAAAUACAAUUUUAUGAAAUUUAAGCGAUAAAAAAAUCGUCGGAUAAUCGUAAUAUUAUUAUAUUUUUCUAUCGCUGGGUAAUAUAAUAUGCUAAACGCUGCGCGCUGAACUUUUAUAUAAGUGUAAUAUUUUUCGCCAUAUGUCACACGCGUGUAUUAUGCAAUAUUUUAUGUACCUAAUAUAAAAUACUGUCACUAAUGCGCGUUCGAUAUACAGUAAUUUACGACGACGGAGUAAAAUUGUUUUUUUUUUUUUUCGAAAAUAUUCAUACAUACGUAUUAUAUAUGAUUAUAACAAAAUAAAAAUAUAUAUUUUCUAACAUUCUGCAGACUCCGGGGAUAAACUGUUGCGGCGCUCGAUAUCGAUUGGAUAUUAAUCUUCCGGUCGUGUCGCAUGCGAUAUGCUGCGAAGAGAAUUUUCAUUUUUUCUAAUAAUUUGGUUCGCGUUUUCAGACGUGCUUAUUACGUGCGAAAAAAUGAAAACCGACCGUUUACGUGCACCGCGGGUAGGUCUGCACUGGUUUGUUUGUGACACGGGAAGUGUCAACACACGACACAACGCAGUUUAUAUAAGUAAAAUAAACUGAAACCUAAUAGCAAUCAAAAAUCGGUUCCAAGCAAAGUUCGUGGAACUGUAAGUUAGGUAAGGUUAAGAUAACUACUCAGAUGUCAAAAAUUUGAGUAUGCCAGCCCGGGUUCGAAAUUCCAGAUAUUUUUGUGCUUCGAUUCCUAAAAGCAUAAAAACUCUGCCCGACAGAUUGUAGAAUCCGGAUAGGAUCAUGGUCCGUAAUAGGCGAUUGUAGUCAAAAAUCGUCUAAGUCGGUAUGCAGACCCAUGACAUGUUUUAAAGUAGGGAAUUUCGAUAAUUUUUGUCGAUUUAUGUUUCUCCCGCAUGGGUAUACCAACACCACUUCUGAUGACAGCACGUCGCGAAUAUUAUUCUUUUUUUUACGCGUGUCUCAUCAAAAGCCGAGACAGAAAUUCAUCUCCGUUUCAGAGAGUGGCGGGUCAGUAUUAUAUAAGGAAAAAAAAAAAAAAAAAAUAACGAAAUUGUACACAAUCGUCACGGUCGGGGGCUUGGUCGAGGCCAGCCCCGCGAUGACGACGACCAAACGGGCGCGAUGGUGGUGACGACGACGGUGUGUAUCGACCGGACAGAACCACCGCCUCUGCCACUGUCAUAGCCGUCACAUCGACGGAUUCAUCUCUACGGGCCCCCGAAAAAAAAGUCUCAAAUGACGCCGACCGUGAUACGUUGGCUGUCGUCCGCAUCUUCGGCCGAAUAAUGUAAACCUAAUAAUAAUAUAUUAUGAAAACCGAUGGUAGAUCCGAUGUAACCAUAAAAAUUGGCUCCCUCCCGGUAGAUUAGAUUAAAAGAGGGGGGGGGGAGGGAAAAAUAUCACGGCAGACAAUAUUUAAUGGCAUACAGCCGUUAACGAAAUUCGAUUUAGGGAUGUGUUGACUUUGGACAAUACUCACAAUUUGAAUGCCUUAAUAAUAACAAAUAAAUGUAUUUAUUUUUUCGUCCUUUGAUCAUUAUACCAAUACUAAUAAUUAAUCUAAUGAUUAAAAUAUAACGGUAACCGCGUAAUAAAACAGAUACAAAAAAAAAAAAAAACUUAAGAAAUUUAGUUUAAAAUUAAAAUUAAUUAACCGUUGAAUAGUCGACUCUGUUGUCUAAAUGUCCACGUUUUAUGGAGUCAUAUCCCCGCACAUGCAACUCACACACAUCGUAGGCUUUGCCCGAAUGAAAAAUACGAGGGGCUUCUAUAAUAUAAAUACUAUUGUGCAGUGUACAGUCUCCAAACUGAGGGAGCUGGAGAUUUUGUUUUGUUUUUUGACACGUUUUAAGUAGGGAGAAACGAAUUUUAAGUCACUUUUGCGUUUAACUUAUUUUUUACUGUUAAAAUCUCAGUCCUGGUUACACUAAUAUUAUUGUUGUGUAAAUUCUGAAGGAACGAUAGGCUGCGAUUGUUAAACUGUACGGAGUCGACUGUACUCAUUUAUCACAUGCAGAAAUACAAACUAAGAGUCAUUGAAAAUUAUCAAUAUUCCACGGAAUAGUGUUAGUAUUUCUAGUUCUUCGCCUAUUUAGAAAUAAUAGAACACCGACCGUUUUUUUCAAAAAGGGAAAAUAACAAGGGUACCGUUUUAUUUAAUGCAUCCGAGUACUGUACAAUAGUAAUAUAUUAAAUAAAGUAAUAACUAUAGUAAAUAAAUAUAUAAACACAAAUUUAUAUUUAAAAAUAAAAUAAAUAAACGAAUCUAUGCAUCGCCUGAAGUAUUAUGAUAAGUACGUUAUACGACCGGUUGCGAAUUAAAAAUUCAUCAUCUGGUAUAUCACAGACAAAAUGUUAAACGUGACUCCAGGUGACUCAUUGAUUCAUUUAUUUAUUUUAUUUUAGUUUGUGAUUGUAACGAAGAAUGUAUUGGUUUUACUAAGAUUAUAUUAUUUUUUUAAUCCUAUGUACGAAAAUUCGACCAUAAAUCUUGUUCAGAUGAAAACACGCAGCACCAUUUUUGAAAGAAAAUGUUGUUUAGGUAGUAAUUUCGGGAGGUUUUUUAUUAAUUUUCCAAGUGGUUUUCAGAAUAUCUUGGAAAAACCAGGAUAAGACGUAAAAAACGAAAUAAACGAAGUUAAUGCUUUUAUUAUUUUAUACAUUUUGUUAUUUGUUAUAAUUCAGUUAAAAAAAAUUCGUAGUGACUUGAAAUUGACUUCACUUACAUUUGCGUUUUCUAGACGUGGUAAAAUUUUCAAAAUAUUUGAGACAUUUUUGAGCUACUGAUAGACAUUUUAAUUUUGCGAGUAAGUAUGUAAUUUUUAUUCGGUAGGUACUCCGUGGUAAAAUUGUUAAACUUAACAGAAAUGCUUGAAAAUUUAAUAGGAAGUUUAUUAAAUUAUACUUUUCGGUAAAAAAAAAAAUUGAGUUAAAUAUAGUAUUUUUUUUUUAUAAAGGAAUUUCGAUACUGCAUUUUGGUGAAAAUUGUUUGAGUAAAAGAUUAUGUGAACAAAUUUAAUUUUUCAUUUUUUUUUUUUUUCAAAACAGGUCUAUUGUUGAUUUAAGAAGGAUGGUAAAGUCGAAAUUGAGUAGACUGUCUAAGUUUCGAAAUUAUAGCUUUUUGAAGUACAGAUUUUACAGGUUUAUGUUAAAUAGCUAAAUAAUAAUUACGUUUUUUUUAAAUAUAUAUUUGUUGUAGUUGAAUGGUCAUGAAUACAUAUUGGCAUACUAGUGGUCGUGAGAUUGAAUCCGGGAUUUUAGAAAUUGUUUGCACUUUUUUAUUCCUCUUUUAUUUAAAUAGGAAAGAAACAAAUGCAUUUUAAGUUUACCUAGAGACCUAGCUGUUGUCCGCUCGGACGAUUAUAAACGAAAAAUAUCCCUCGAUUUGUUGUGCGAACUUUUCAACCAACUAUUUUGGUCUGAUUUACAUUGAUAGCACUUUUUAUUUAAGUAAAUCUGACUGGGAAGGUACUUCAAGGAGGUCAUUUUUCGAUUUUUCCGAUAUUUUUUUAAGCAAAUGUGAUAAUCCGGGAAAAAACAUGGAAAAACCGGGAAAAUCGAUACAAUAUUAAACAAAUAUUAUUAAAGAAAAAACAUGCCUAUUUCAUUAUUUUACCAUAGUAUGAUAUGUGUAUAUAUAUAUUGUUGACAAAGCAUCAUUAUCAACUUGACUGCGCUCAGAAUCUUUUUUUUUUUCGUUAGAAAUGGUUUAUCGUUGCUUACAGAUAUACAUUAAAUUACCUUUAACAGUGGUGGCUGCACCCGUCUCCAUUUUCCUAGGACGUAUUUUUUAUACAUAUAUUUAUUUACUAAAUGUAUUACUUUAUUUAUUUACGAGUAUUAACCAUUUUAAUAAUUUUGUUUUUACUUUAUUGUUUUAUUAAUAAGAUAUUGGUGACCAAUGUUAAUGGUUUCACUCUGUAUACUAUACUAUAGUACCGAGUUAUCGUCAUUAUUAUUCCCCUUCUCUAGAGAUUCCCGGUUUAAUGUGGUAUAGAAUAAAAAAAAAAACCCGACCAUUUAAAACGCCGCCGCUUGUCGACGAUUUAUUUAUUUUUUCCUCCUACCCACCUAUGACACUACCCUAACCCUGCCACUACUAUGUUGGAGUGCUGAAAAUUCUGUCACAGUCGAUAAUUAGCGAGCAUUCCGCCACCGCCGCGGCCGCCGCCAAUUCCCACGAGGCUUCUUUAUACACCGGUUCACCGGCGCGUUGCAAAUAUUAUAAUAAUUUGGUUAUUAAUUGCGUUCUAUACAACGCUAUUGUUCUUUCCACACAAUUAUUAUUUCUAGGCUGUAGUAACAUUAUUUUACGCAUCAAUCGAUUAUAGGUUAAAAUAAUAAUAUUACACGCGAGUAAAUCGAAUAUCGAAAAUACGGACGGGACAUGUCAGCUGACCAGUGAAGACCGAAUUGUACAGUCACCAAUAGUUUAGAUGUUAUUUCGUGCCUCAUUUAUUCGGCUCCGUGUGCGACUACGUACACAAACAUAUUUCGCUCGCUAUCAGUUCGGCGCCGUAAAGAUACAACGGUCUCAGCGGGUGCAUAUGCCCAUUGUCCUUGUAAUAUGCAUAACAAUAGACGGUUUAGACUGAUGUUUAAGUUUGACGCCAGCCACCAUGUAUGCGCGGUGGCGGUCAAUGGUUACGCGAUCAUCUUAUCAAUACGGCUUGAUAAUAAUACGAUCUGAAACGGGUUUGUGGGGCUUGAUGUUUAUUUCGACCUCUCUCAUUGAUGACUGAACACAGAUAAUAAGAACGCUUACACGUUCAGUACAUUAAGCGUGUAAUGUCACGUUUAUUAUCUGUACUAUUAUAGCACAAUAAUUAUUGAUCCCCCCCCCUCCCUAAAGUCGCGCGGAAUAAAAUAUAAGAACACGGAAAAAACAGCUUAUUUCCCGCGUUUUCACAUUCAUCCUUCCUUCACAAGUUCAGGGAUCUUAUCAUCCGUAAUCAUCUGGGGUCGUAUUCUGUGUGAUUUUUUCGAGUCACGGCCUUAAGCCUAUUUUAAGGAACUCGGGCCUACAAAAAAAAAAAAAAAAAAAAACCAUAUAUAUAUAUAAAUAUGGGCCUCGGAAAAGCCGAGUACGGACCUGGAGAUCGUUUAAAUAUUAUAUAGUUAAAGAUCCGAAACAUUAAAAAUACCUUGUAUAUUAUUUGUUUGCACACUAAUACGUGUGGGUAUACAAAUAAAAAAAUAUUGAUAAAAUAAUUAAGUAAAGAGAAAAUCAUUUGGUUAAUACUCGUAAAUAAAUAUAUAAAUAAAAAUAAAAUAAAUAAAUGAGUCAAUGUGUCGCUUGGAGCAUUGUGAUAAGUAUGUUAUACGACCGGUUUCGAACUAAAAAUUCAUCAUCGGGUUUAUCACAGUCAAAAUGUAAAACGCGAUUUAUUUUUAAACAUACGUUUUUUUAUUUUUAUAUUUAUUCACUGUGUUUAAGAAUACAUUGUUUUAUAAGUUACAAACGUAAAAAAAAAAAAAAAAGGACAAACGUUAAUUAUCAAUCUUCGGAUUUUAUAUUAUUUAAGUACAGUCAGUAAGGAAUGCGUUUUUAAACGACUAAUUAAACAAUAAUCGACCGUUACAUGCAGGGUAGCGUGAAACUGUUCAAGUAACGAACACAAUAACAAUAUAAUAACAAUUCCCGCGGGGUCGUAUCGUUCAACUCCGUAUCGAGGGGUAGGAGGUUAUUUACGGAGGUGUGAAAGAGGUGAAAAAAUACUAUUAUACUUGGAUUUUAGUCGUAUAUAUAAAAAAUACGUGAAACAAUAAUAAUAUCCUUUAAUUGCAUUAUUAUAUUGUUACUGUGGUGUAUUAUUAUAAUAACUCUAUCGCAGCGUAAUAAUAUUGUAAUUUAGAUUAUUACGUGUUUGUUGUAUGCGCACGGAUAGUAAAGGUAUUACAAUUGUUAAACGCACCUUAUCUAUGUGUGCCCAGAGAUGUAAUUAUUGUAAUUAUUAUUACUAUUUUUUGUUGAAAAUGCCAGAGAAACGCAUCUAAACACACAUGGUAUGUUAGUGAUUAAAUCUUGAAUUCGGGCCGGGGAAUGAAAUGUCUCUGAAAAUAUUACCAAUACUCAGUGUCUUCAAAUCUGAGCACUGAAUCGUUAUAAUAAUAUAAAUUACGGACAAUUAUUUCCGUUCGAAAAUUGACUUUCAUAGAUACUAAUAAUAUACUAUACAAUAUAUUCAAAGAGAACUACGAUAAUAGUUAUUUGAUUAUAAAAUAUCGAAAAUACUGAUUGUGUUUCACAAUGACAAUUUCGACAAACGCAAUAAAUUUUGUUUUGUUUAAUAUUCAUUUUUUUUUCGAAUUCCUACUAACUGAAGAAUUGCCCUAUGAUUCCUUCUUUUUUUUGUAUUUUAAUAUUUUGUUUGAAACUAAAAAUAAAACAUAUUUUUAAACGACAUUUUGGUGUAACAAAUAUUUACUAAUAAUGAAUCCGUUAUGCUUCUAUAACAUGUUAAAAUAUACAAAAAUCAUUUACAAAAUAAUUAUUCAUGGACAAAUUGAUAAAUCGAUUUAUAUUAGUUUUUAAAGUUUAAGAUACUUUAAAUUUUUUUAAUUGGUCACUAUUAAAUAAUAUCAAUCCGUUCAUACAUGUUUCCACGAACAGUAUUUUCGUUCAAGAGCCAUGACUUCUGUAAACUUCGAGAAAGUUUAGAAACUUAUUUAAUAUUAUUUAUAACACCAACAAUUUGUUUGAAUUAUAGAUUCAAAGAUAAAUAUAAAACAGAAAGAAUAAUCAUUAUGAAUUAUUACAAAAAAAAAAAAAAAAAAAAUAAGAAAAAAAAAGAAAUAUAUUUACAAAUAUUUAACUGAACAAAAGUUAUUGCAUUUGACAUACAUUUGUGGGACAUUCCAUAUGCGUAUAUACAUAGGCAUAUUAUAUUCAAGUAAUAUGGGACGAAGGAAAAACUUUGAUAUAAAUUUAAUUUAGAAACAAAUUAAUUGUUAUGUUCUAGCAGCGUGAUUAUUAUUGAUAUUAUAAUUGGAAUAGCAAUGUUAACUGAUAAGAUAUAUUAUUUUACAGUAUUGAUUUAAAGUGUCGGUUUUAUAAAAUUCCGGUUCGGUUUCCAUUCAAAGCAUUACCCCUUGUCUUCACAACGGCGGCGGAAGUUUAAUAUACAUCAGUUUUAUCACGGGGGACAAAGAGAACCCCAAUAAAAUAAUUAAAAAAAUAAAUCCUUUGGAAAUACGUGAAAAAAAUUGUAAUUGGUCUGGUUCAUUGUGCGAUGUCAAAAAGGUACGAAUCUGCGAACAAAAAUUAACAUUUCUCUCUACAUAAUUUAUUUCUAUUUUUACUCCGGUACGUAUAAUAAACUUGAUAUUUUUUUUCCCCGUCCUUACACCCGCUUUUCUUAAUAUAAAAUCUAUACGGCACAACAAAAAUAACGACCGUAUUAGAUUAGGUUUUCGUAUUCAGCUCCGCUUUUCAUACCUAGCUCUAAAUGCAUUACACGAUUUAGUUUAUCGAUUCUUUUUUUUUUCUGUAGUUCGACGCGUUUAUUAAAAAUCGUUCUACAAGUUAAAACGAUCUGGUGCGUUGAUCUGUAAAAACAAGAGGAAGGCUAUAAUUGUCUAUGUUUCCUUCCAAAAUUCAAUUCUCAAAGUGUCGUUCACCACAUGGUUUUGAUUAACCAAAUACGGACAUUGUUAUGUUUUAUUAUUUUUUUAAUUUCAAAAAUAAGGAAAAGUGAUAUCAGGCAAUAUCAAAAUUAUAAUAUAGUUUCUAUACUUAUUGUUGCCACAGUGCAAAUAGAUAUUUGUGAGCGAGACAGAUAACACAGAAUAGCCCGUGUAUAUAAUGUGUACAUAUUAUAUAUCUUAACCAUUAUGUAUUCAUAUUAUUGUAAUUAGUGUAUUAAUUAUGUAUUUGAAAGCUAAAUCGAUGGUGUUUUGUUCAAAGGGCGUAUGCCACUAAAAAUCGAAAAACACGUUUUUGGUAUCGGCAAAUCAGAAUAAUUAGGAACACAGACCGGUAAAAGGGCGUAUUUAAAUACCGAAAAUUAAGUUGGUAAUUUCGACUAAAAGAUAUCCCGGUGCCAUUUUAAAAUGUAAUUAAAUCAACACUGAUCCGAUAAAAGGGCGUAUGCCACAUUCAAUGCAUGCGUAUUUUGACCACAAUGUAUUAUGUGUACGAGUAACUUUAUUUUUGUUUUCCAUGAUAAACAUCGUUAACAAUUGUUUUGCUGUUGUUUUGCAAAACCGUAUUUAUUGCUUCCCGAAUAAUGGUGAAAUUUGAUAGAAGCCGUUUAACAAAACACUGUUGAUGUAUGAUCGACGAAUCACAAUAAUUAUUCUAUUCUCAUUCUAGCUUUGUAUAACCGAGGAUCCGCCUACUAUAACACAUUCGUUUGACGGUUUUCUAUACAGAAAAAAAAAAAAAAACGAUAAUAAGUCGUACGAUUAGAAUGUAUUUUUUCAAAAUUUGCCAAAUUGUAUUUUACGUAUGUACAGAUGUAACCAUUCGAGAACACGCAGAAACCUCGGUAACUUUCAUCGUAACAUUUAAUAUUACGUGCAUUGCGCAAACAAACAAUACGUAUACGUAAAUCCGGCGAAAUCGUAUAACCGUGGUAUAGGGUUAUAUUAUUAUAUUAUUAUGAUAUACAAUACCGAAUGCGUCAAGAUGCACAAUACUGCGCUGCAGAACGCAUAAUAAUAAUAAUAAUAAUAUUCGUAUUGUGUAUAUACCUGCGUGUUGCAAUAAAACGUAUAAAGCGAUGCGUUUUUGAUGGCAAAAAAAUUUGAAUUUUCCGUAGUGGGUUCCGGGUGUACUUGUAGCGGCGGAACGGCGCGGCGGUCGGGUCUUUGAUGUUGUCGGAGAAUUCAAGAAACAAUGGGUUAUGUUAUUAUGGUCGAUAUUCCGUACACGCGCGAAAAUAAAACGGCUCGCUGUUCUGCAGAAAAAAUAAAUAAAAAAUACUUACUAUAAUACUGUUCACAAAUCCGCGUAUGUAGGUACAUGACCACCGACCUUUUCACGCAUGUUUCGACUUUUCUCGCCCGCGGCAACGGUGCUUAUACGAAUCUACUGCAGCGCAGAGAACGCGAUAUUUCCUCGUCAUAUUCACUAUUAUGCAUAACAUAAGGAGGGAAAUCUCCGAGAAAAAAAUCUUUAGACAAAUCGGAAUACGUUCUGGUGGGAUUAAUAACGUCAGUUUUUAAAAUAUUUUUUUUUGCUUUUUCAAUGUUAUUAUUUAUAAAAAAAAAAAAAAACCGAAAAUAAUGAUUGCAUUUUUCCCUCGAGUUAAAACGAUAUUUUCCGGUAAGUAACAUUUUUUUUUCUUUGCGAAAAUGGUAUUUUUUUUUGUUUUUCUUUGAAUUUAUUUAUUAUUUUAAAGUUUUCUGACUUUUCCGGUAUUUUUUUCCCCGACUUUGCAAUUGUUUGUUUUUGAUAAAAAAAAAACCACUGCAAACGUCGUUUCCCAAAUCACUGAAAAACUUUUACGAUAACAUUUUAGUAAAUGAGAAUAUGAUGUUACAGUACAGUUGUUCUGUUAUAUAAGUAUAAAUGAAUUAAAAUUGUAUUAAAAAAAAAAAAAAAUCAAAUUCAGAAAUCUUCAAAAAUGUCUCCAAGUAGAAACCUUUUUGCGUACGGUUACUACCAUUGCUAACCUAUCAUCUCUCUUACUUGCUCAAUUGACAUAAUAUUAUUUUUUUGUUUUUGAUAAAACGUCUCGUUUUGAACGAGCUUUCACCGAAACUUUGAUUUAUUAUUGACGUGUAUUCGACGUUGAAUAAAUUACGGCGGUAAUUUACUUUUUAAACGACAAAAGUCUAAAAAAGCAAACUUCGAUUCCAUUUUAUGUUUAACGUAAUGUAUGAGAGGGGGAUGGUGAAUAACGCGUAGAUAACAUACAAAUAAUGUUUAAAAUAAUAUUUUGACGAUAUCUCCAAGUGAUUGUAAGAAUAUCGAAUCAAAUUCGAUUAGGUUAUAAGUCAGGUAUUAUUAUAGGUUAUCGUUUGAUCAUUUUCGUUAAAUUAAUUACUCGCCAUUUAAAACACAUAUUCGAAUAUUAUUACGCAGACCGAGACGGUACGGACUCGACACGCACGAUCGAAAUGUGAUCAGGAAAUGUAUAUAGGUUACCGGAUGUCACGAUUCCAAUUCACUCUCAACUAUCAUCAGAGGAUACGUUCUAAAUUUUUUUUUUUGUAGUUCUUGGAGAAAUUAGCCAGUCACACCGUCUCGGUCUCGAAAUGAUCAUCAACGGACCGGUUGGGUAGGGGACGGCGGUCCGGCCACGAUAAUUUCUGAUCGCGCCUCCGACAUCCGCCUACACUCGAUCGUGUCCAGUCCGUAUCGUCUUAUUCCGCGCUAAGAAAUCUACCGGGGUAAAUCGCCGGUUUCCGAUAAGCGGAUUACACCGAAUGGGCGCGUGCCGUCUAAAAUGUCUGACGGAACGAAAGAAAAAUAAAAAAAAAAAAAAAUAACCGUAAUUCCCCGCUGACGAAACGCCGGUCGAUUUUGAAAAGUACGCGUUUUUUAUCCUCCCAAUGCGACGGGAACACAAUAUCGCGAGGCAAUCGUGUCAUCGGUGCCCGCGUCCGUAACACCUACACGCGCCUACCCGACGCCGGUGACAUUAAAACCGCGCGAACUCUUGCGAAACGAAGGGGAACCCGGUGUCUUACGGUCACGUGUUUGGCGUGGCGGUCCCGGUGCACUCGGUUUUUAAACGACCGCAGUGGUAUGUCCAAGGACGGAGAACGGGACGGAUGCGACCCGGUUUUCGCGUUUAUUUAUAUUUUUUUUACCGUAAAUAUAUACACGCGAGAAACGGGGACCGCGCGGCAACACGGCACGUGUAUAAGUGCGCAUGUGUACUUAUAUUAUAAAUGUACACAUAUACGCGUGUAUACGCAUAAAAUAUGAUUGCAAUACUUUUAUGCUCGUAACACAAUAUCGCGUAUCAUCUAUUCUUCACGACAAUAGCGCUCGUACGCACAGUUCGUCCGGGAGUUUUCGGUAAAACGAGUCCGUACGACCACGCGUCGAAUGCGUGAAUUCAAUUUCGCGCGUAACAUUUGCGGCGGCGGCGGCGGCGGCGUUUAUUUUAGCGUUUAGCCGUACGCCGUCGGUUCGUCCGCCAACGGAGUUGUAAUUUCCAUACGAACCCCCGUGCAAUAUCAAUUAUUUCGCGUUAUUCCGCCGCCGUACACGCGUCUAAUAAUUCACGUAACUUUAAUUUUCCGUUAUUUUACAAUAUCAGCCAGUACACCGCCGCCGUCUCGACCAGGUCCCGACGAUAUUUAAAUAUUUAAUAACGGUCGAUACGAAGUCGCCUCAAUUCAAACCGAACAGUGGGGAAGAAAAUAAUCAAAUAGCGGACGGGUAAAGCGCAUAAUAACGAGUUUAGUUGCAAGUACAAUUGACAACAACCACGAUAAACCACUCGGCGUCGCGUUAUUGCAAUGCAACUACACUAUACUGCACCGGUACGCGCGUCUGCGCGCGUAGACAACCGGAAAUGCAACGUUGCUGUCGAAUUUUUCCCCGGGAACGCACGCCGUCGCGCCGUAUUGUGAUCGUCGCAUUAUAUCUUUUCGCCGCCUGGACACGUUUAGCGGCUUCGUCCGGACGAAAUGAGCUCGAACCCGGGAAUUACAGUUACGUUUUAACAGUGGAAUUUUAUCGCCUCAAUCUCGGUUGAAUUCUUCAACGGACUCCGCCGUAUUGUUACGGGAAAACAACAGAGUUGUUUUGACCGUCGUUAUACCCUUGCAGACCUGCCGCCCGUGACCCGAGAGACGGCAUUAUGUCACUGUCGCGUAACCGUCUAGGACGAAUCGUUCGGGAGUCUCAAAUUUCUAACCCGUGCCCGGUUCAUAUCUAUGCUCAGAUAUCUUGGUAUGAAGUGAUAGACUGGGGUUUUAAACGUCCCCACAGGCUACAACGCGAUUCAAAUCCGACUGUUGUAAAUAAAUAAUCAAUAAAUAGAGAAACGAACCAUCGUAACGGCGACAAGUCCGCUGACGGAAAAUUUCACGCGGAGAUCUGCUGUUCAAAAGUGUUUAUAUUCGUCAACGAUAAAAACGAAAUUCGUACCGCAAUAAUGCAUAAAAUUGUACAUUUGUACGCCAAUAAAAUGUUAAGUUAAUCGCUUGAACAAAAUCUAACAAGUUAACGUCACGCUGUAAGUUAAUUUGGAAAUUUAAUUUAGUUAACUAAACAAUUUAUUUGUAAAACGGCCACAUUUUUAAAUGAAUUCGUCAUUUUCAGUUUAACAAGGCUCGAGUAAUAAUUAUAAGAAAAAAACGAAAUCAAAAACAUUGAACAGAACCACCAGAACCAGAGUUAUCGGAUUUGUCAGAUCUCCGCGGGACACUAUAUUAUGUUCAGCCGUAAAUGUCGAAUAUUAAAAUUCCAAUUGAAAAAAAAAGAUAUAAUUUUUUACUAUAUCUAUAUAGUAUACUUGUUAUUAUAUUUGAAAAUUGCGGUUUUUACAUUAUUGGCACGUAGGCGUAUCGUAAUAUCGUAUUACUUACCUACUAAGGUCGGGUACCUAUGCUAUAAAAACGUCGGCGAGCGAGAGACUCGGGUUUAAAUUACUAUAAAGAUAAAACAAGAAUGCGGAAUUUUUUUUUUGUGUGUUUUUGUACUUGACGCACUUUCGGAACGAAUUCGUAAUUAUUGUUAUUAUUAUUAUUGUUCGGUACAGCGCAGCGUACGGGAACACACAAAGGCAUAUAGCUGCUGAUUACGCAUUGUACUGCAUGCGUAUAGCGCUAUGUAUAUAGGAUAAGUACUUAAGUAGUGCACAAUGCAAAUUUGCUCUCCAAAGUAACAGUCUACAUAUGUGUACAAUAUAUAUACAUAUAUAUUAUACAUGUAUGCAAUGUAAUAUGCAAUGUAUGCAAAUAUGUGCAUAAUAUGCGUAAUAUGACAAUUUUAUAAACCUAGUUGGCGAGAACGACGACGACGAAGGUACCCGAUGAUAAUAAUAACAACGCAGGUUAGGUUACCGGGUACUUGUAGUUAUUUAUCUGAACAACAUAAUUCCUAGGGAACAUACGUAUAGUAGUGUAGUGCAGUGUACCGCGUAGUACCUAUAGACGAGUGGAUGAUACGUAAUGUGUGGAGAAUUUUCGAGUUAAUUUCCGUAACGAAAAAUGCGCAGCUAAACGUUAUAAUACGAUAAAUUGAGCGACAGAGGAGGAGGAAAAUGAAAUUCUAAAUAGUUCGUUUUAACGUAACGCUCGGCGUUUUAGAUUCGGAAUGGAGCAAAAAAUUGUGCAUCAAUAUUUCCCACGGACCGCAUGGUUUUACUUUUACAAUGAUAAAGUGUGCGCUUUUUUACCCUGUCUAUAAUCUAUUCGAGGAUGAUUUACCGUGGAUAAUUAUGUCGGAGUAAUGUGCGUUGAGUAGGAUUGCUUUUUUGUAGGAAACGGGGAGAACAAACGGGAAUAAUUACACGAUAACCUUGGAUUUUGGUUUUUUUGAUUUUUGCUGUAGCUCAUUGAAAAAUAAAUUUUAAAGCCCUUAGAAUUUACACCCAGUACUUAUAAAAUAUCUCAACGCUUUCUAGACGCGAUACAAUUUUCCAAAAAUUCUAACGUUUUAUAAGUUAAGAAUAGAUAUUUGAAACAGUUGGGUUUUUUUUUUUUUUUGGUGGGUUGGGAUUACAUUUUUGAAACGCUUAAUAAUUGCUCGUAAAUUUGAUAUGAGGGUUCUUAAAUCUUACGAUAAUCUAUACAAAUAUCGAAAAUCUGUAAAUUAUGUAUAUUUUUAUUGUUUCGGAAAUUUAACGCUUUAAGGUUUGUCAUUUGCUAAUAAACUCCAAUGAUAUUAGAACAUGGACACGGUGGGAAAAAAAAUGCUAUUAUACUUUUCAAAAUGUUAAUUUUUCGUUUUCGACCAUUAAAAUUAGUAAUUAAAACGUUUUUAAUGUAAAUAUAAUGGAUCUGAGAAAUUGAAAUAGAUGAAUUAUUGUCCGUGAUAGAAAUGGUAGAAUAUUGAAAUCAACAAACGCAAAAUAUUCCAAAUUAAUAAUUUUUAUACAAAUUUCCGUUGUAAUUCAUUGUCGGUUUUAAACGUAAUGUUAUUUUGAACGAUUCUUGGAAUGGAAAAUAUUAUUAUUCGGUGUUUUAUAAAACCACAAUCUGGGGUCAAUUCACUCGGUCCCGUGGUUAAUUUAAAAUGAGGUCUUUAUUUUUUUACCAUAUUAUAAUAUAGGAUGUUAUAAUACGUUUUAAUGGUUUUUUUUUUUAAGUCGAUAUUUAAAUAAUUUUAUCAUAUUGAAACUUUAAAUUAAAAUGCAUAAAACUACACGUCAUUAUUUAUUUGUGUUCAAAUAAAUAAAUAAAUAAUUAUAUUUUAACGUUAAAUUAAAAAUAUAAAACAAAACCACCGUAAUUUAUUAACUUCGCGUAAAAACCAAAGACUAACGUUUUGCUGUAAAAAAAAAAAAAAAAAAAAAUACUUUUUAAAAAAUUGGUUUUAAAAUUAUUUUAGCUUCAAUAGACCAGGAUAAAUAAAUAAAUGGGUACAUUUUUACUUAAUUUUUAGUGUUUCUUAGAUAUAUUCAUGUAUUCAUAAUCUAUGAUAGUCAAAAAUAUUUAGAGUUUUUUGAAUUACAAUCAAAUGACGCAGUUUUCUCGUAUUUUGACCAUAAUAUCUGGUCUUAAAUAUGUAUCUAAAAUUCGAUGUAAUCGCAUUAUAACUUCUAUGCACGGAGAAUUGAGUUCAUCUCGUUGUACAGAGUAUACAAGAAUAAUGUCAUCCGCCGAAAGUAUUUGAAACAUUAAUUAUUUCGCCAAAAAGUUCAACUAUCCGGUUAUUGCACGAAACCCUUGAAUUAACAAGUAUUUUAUUAACCCUAGAGGGUAAUUCAGGAGUCGGCGAUGGCGUUAAUAUAUAACUUUAAACUUGACGAAUAUUACGUACAAAUAUUAUUACCACAAUCACAAAAAAAUUCUGACUGAAACUAUAAGAAUUCAAUGGAAAAACACUGCAACGCAGAACAAAUUGCAAUGGGGACAGAGUUUUUCUUGGACCUAAUAGUUUUAUUUUAAUGUGUAUUGUGAUUCCGUAUCUCUGAGUAACUUGUCCACAAAAUAUCAUGCUUGAAUUAAAUAAUAACAAGUGAACAUACUUGAUGAAUUAGGUUCGAGUUAGUGAUAAAGACACUCGGUUUAUUAUUUUUCAACCAGUUUUCAUAAUAAUUGGGAAAAUCCGGAAAUAGUUGUAAAACGAAAAUGGAGUAAUUUACGGCACAACGAUUUCAUUAUAGUAUAUUUUGCCUUGAAGAUUUUCCAUGUGUUUUUUAUAUACACAUGUUAUAUAUAUUCAAUAAUUGAAAAAACCGAGACAAAAUGUAAAAAGAAAGUAAAUGUAUACAGAAAUAAAAGUUUUAUUGUUUUAAAUUUUGUUAUAGAUUCUUUGCGGAGCGUACAAUUUAUUGGUUUUACAUUGAUGUUUAUAUUUUUAAUUUUUUUUCUUGUGAACAACCGUUCCACCAGAAAUUUCGCUUCGAUUUUUAAGUGAUUUAUCAAUCAUUUUUUCCGAAAGGAAAUUUUAACUGGAGUAAUGUCUGAAGAAAGUCGUUUUUCGAUAUUCCCAAGGGGUUUACAUAAUAAAUAGGAAACAUCGGGAAACAAUUUAGGAAAAACGAAAAAAUGUACAAAAUGUAUAAUUUUCAAAUCGUAUAUAUUACGGCCUUUCUAAACACGUGUAACCGAAUUCCGCUCAGAAUCGUUUUCCAUUAGCAACGAUUAAUAGUUGCGUACAAAUAUAUAGAUUACAUUUUUCCUCUACUUUCCUAACUUCUCAUCAACGACAGUGACUCACCAGUCAUGUAACUUAUGUCCGUUUUUUUUUUUUUUUUUGUUGUAGUUCAAUUUAUAAUAUCUGUGGAAUCUCAAAAUGUCGAUAUUAAACUUAUAUUGAUACUUUCUAGAUGCGAUGUAUAAUUUUUAGAUGCUUGAUAAUAUAUUUGAUCUGUCUGUAGAUAUUUUUAAUUUUCUAUUUUUUCUUUUUGUUUUUUUUUUUUUUAUUUAAAUGGUUGAAAAUUUAACACGGAGUUUAUUAUAAGUUGUAAUUAGGUGUGAUAAAGACUAUUUUUAUUCACAAGUUAACGGAACAACAAUAUAUUUUGUUUUAUCAAUAUUUGUGUGUAGUAUAUAAAAAAAAACACGACAUCUAUCAACUGUGAACAACUGUAAUUUGUAGACGUAGCGGUUUUGUCCAGGCAUAGGUGUUUAGAUCAAAUAUCGAUGGCACUUUUCGCGUUUUAACCAAACAUUUCUGAGGUUUGCUCGUUAUCAGCUUUUGCCCGAUGCAUAACGAUAUAAUAAUUACUAAUGUGUAUGGUCUAUAAUGUCACAUAACCGACGAAUAACAUUGUAUUUUUCCCUUUAAACUUCUUUUGUCGUAACGUUGUAGAUAAAACUGCAGUGGUUUACGUUUUCACGUUAUUUAUUUAUUGUAACAAUUUUCUUUUUUUACAUUAACAAACUAUACUUACUGCGAGAAACUUGAAAUAUGUUUCCUUUAAAAUAUGGUCUGGUAUCCAAUUCUCUGUUUUCCUAUACGUAUAGGUAUUUAUAGGGCAAUGUGAAACUUUUGAAACAUUCCUAAAAAUAUUGAUACACACGAAAAAAGAAAUGAAACAUCAUUGUGAAGCCAAUAAAUUCUUCACUUUUCUCGCUUAGAAUCUAAAAGCGCAGUUACCUACCUGUAUAUGAUACCGGAUAGAAUACAUGCAGUAAUGGAAAUCUUUUCACUUGGUUCACCCCGGUGUAAAUCGGUAUUAUAUUGUUCGUUUCAAAAUGUGUGAACAUAAACUAUACCAUUCGGUACCUAGAAAUACGAUUUCGAGUUCGGAGUUCACUAGGUAGUAUAGUUUUAUAGUACCGUGUAUUAUUUUUUCGUUUUUUAAUUUAAUUUUUAUGAAUUCAAUAUUUCGAGCGUUUCAAAAUUAUAACAUUGCGUGGACAACCAACGAAGCGUAUAAUUAUAACAUUUAAAAUAAAAUACCCACGUGAAUAAUUGAUAAUAAUAUUUUUUAUUAAAUUUUAAAACGAAUUCACUACCAUAUUAUACGUAUACUUUUUUCAAUCGCGUUGCAUGAUCGUGGCAUGGGAAAUAGCUGUUAAAUACGAGAAAGUAUCGUUUUUAAAACGCUUACAAGCUACGAAACGAAAUGACGGUUUAUUAAAGAAAACAACUCGAUAAAUAUCAAUAACGCUUACAUAUGAGUAAUAUAAAUUAUUUACAACUAACCGGAAAAAUAUACGUUUCUCUUGGUCGUUUUAUAGAAAAUCGGAAAUAAUAUUUCAGUGAAAUUAUUACAUGUCCCAGUGUCGUGAAUUAUUGAUUUUAUAUAAUUAUUCUUUUCAGUUCAGGUUAAAUGUAUAGGUUUACAGUAGAAAUUUAUUGAUGACGAAAAACGGGUUCUGAGUUAAGUCCGAUCAAUCGGUUACCGUUUUGAUAAACUUACAUUGAAAAUUGUAUUAAUUCGUAACCAUAUACAAAAAAAAUAACAAUUUUUCGUAUUGUUUAUUCACGCAUUUGUUUAGCAUGUUUAUCGGUUUUUCGUGUUGCAGUCUCUUUCCGAGUCGAAUCGACCGAAUACACACACGUUAUUAUUCCCUAGAAAUAUUCCCGACUUUCCCGAUUGUAUUUGAAAAAAAAAAAAAAAAAAAAAAAAACUACAAAUUAGAAAACAAUUAUCCCGGUAGAACAGAGAAAAUCCGCACCGCAGCGCAAGACCAGUGCGCGUUUCUCGGCACGCUUGUGUUCAAUUUCGGGAUCAUAUUGUGCCCGUUUAAAAUAAUAUUUACCGCGUAAAUCGCGUUUUAAAAAUGCAUUUAUCGCGUACGUGCGGCCGUGUAGAACCGAAACAACAAACGAUAACGGCGAUUUACUAAACGCGCGUUUUAAAAGUCCGUCAACCAGUGCCGUUUAUCGGGCACACCUUUCGGUUAGACAAUAUUUCGUCGUUCGUUAGUUGGCGCGGUUCCACGUGCGAUCCGCUCUCCGCGUCUACAAACCGUAACAAUAAUAUACAAUAUUAUUAUCAAAUACGUACACCGACGACUCGUGUUUUCGACGUGGGGGCCACGAUAACGAUGGCGAUGAUAACAAUAAUAAUAACGCGGCGAGAAUUCCGCGGUACAUGCCACAGUGUGUGUGUGUGCGGAGCAUAACGUAAAAAAAAAAAAAAAAAACGUUUGUAAAUAACGUAUUUUUAUUUCUACGCGAUGCGAAACUCGCGUUUUAUAUCGCCGGUUUCAAUUAAAUUAAUUGUGUUUAUUAUGUAGGUACGUUCGAGUAUUAGUACAUACACAUUACGUAAUAUUAUAUUAUGCUAACAGAGUAUACUCGCUAUGUGUAUUAUAUACGUAUGAUGUGUAGCGGCGGUUUAAUUCAAUAAAAAAAAAAAAUAAAAGUUUCGAAACAAUAGAAUAAUAAGUAUGUAGGUGUUUAACGAGCUUCGCAAUACUUAUCGCGUAUGAAUAUAGGUUUUGUAUACUCUGUGUACCGUGAAAUUAUAAAACAAAAAAAACCGAAAUGAAAACCGUGCGCGAACAAAAAUCCGUGUGAAAUACGCGUGAACGGGUUACUAUUAUAAUAAUUUGAAAUUAUUUUCAAAUAUUAUACCGAAUUUAAGGUGUUUUUUUGCAUACGAGAAAUUCGAAAAAUAUAUUUAAAAAAAAAUGACGCGUGAUUUAUGCGAUAAAUAUGUAUUAAAUCAGCUGAUGAUUUAAUUUUAAUCAAUACCGACUAUGCUUUGUUGUUUUAUUCUUCAAAUUAAUUAAAAUAAAAACAAUUAUAGAACUACCUAUAUAACCUCCUUAAUGUCCGCAAAAAACGGCCAAUGACGUAGAUUAUAUUCCCAAAUUAGCAUUGGUAAUUUCAAAAAAAAAAAAAAAUAACAAAAAAAAUCACAAAUAUAGUAAAACGAAAUAUUUCGAAAACACCGAUAUCUUUCAUCCCGUGAAGAAAAAGAAGCGAGACGAUUGUAAUUUGUAAUAUCGAAAAAAAAAAAAAAACGGUUUAAAAUGUAUUGUUAUACACACAAAACGACUGCAUUUUCUAUAGGAAUUCACAAAUAAAACUUUUUGUUUCGUCCCCGAAAUUAAAACCGUAUUGUUACAACGGUAUUAUGACUUUUCAUAUCGCCCGUGAUGGGAAAUUGUACAAUGUCAGAAUAAACUUUUACCGGCUACCGAACAACGUAAAAAACACGGGACCACGCGGCCGAUUUCGAAUCGGGUCUCGUUCCGCCAAAUAGCUGCAGGUAUCAUUAUGGUAUUAUUGUGAUUCGCCCGUGUCGUCGUUAACCUUUGUUGCAGAAACGUUUAAACGUUUGCACGGCUGCACUACGGGUACGUACGUUAUUAUUGUGUUAUGCAUUUAUUGCGUAGGUAUUAGAGAUUACGAUAACAUUCGGAAUACCGUUCGUCGGUAGAGAUGGAGAAAAAAACAAAAACACAAAAAAGAGCAAAGCGAUGUACACGCCGAACGGAAUCAUUUAACAUGCGCCGUCGUUGUAUUUCUCCGUCCGUCCCCCCGCGAAUACCCGCGACGGCCAUAAUUCGAUAAAAAUCUGAUGCAUUUAAAGUGUGAAUUAAGAUGCGGCACACUGCGGUCUCGGGAAUAAAAACAUUUACUGUUCGCCACCUAUGCCGUACGGAUUACGGAACCCGCGCGCGCCGGUGUAGCCGGCUAUAACAGUAAUAAUAAUAAUAAUAUAUCAAGUGUGUCGAAAACCAUUACGAAAACGCUAUUACGAACCCUAACAGCGGGCGCGAGUGCGUGAAAUACGACGUCCAAUUAUACAAAUGACCUGCUCAACGUGUAGAUUUAAUACGGGAAUACGGUCUAACGUCUGGCGCAUACGCGAGUACGGAAAAAAAAGGAACGCGUACAAAAAAAAAAAAAACUCGUACCUACCGAACACACACACACACACACACACACACAAACACGUCACACACGUAAUGUUCGCUAAUUUUCACGUCAAACUACCGCGAUAAUUUCCCCCAAAGAAAGCCCCUGUCAAGCAGCCGGCGAGUGACGACUACGAGUUAUAAUCCGUAUUCAUAUUAAAAAAAAAAAAACCCGCAUCACGAGCGAAAUUUAGUUAAACGUUUAACGGACGGUGUUAUUUCAAUACAGAGUUUUUGCACAACUCCGGUUAAAAAUAACGUGCAAACCCGUUAACGUUAUUUACCAAUAUCUGUUUUUGCGCGUGCGCAACGAAUAUCGGUUAUUUGAUUAUUGUAAUGUUAUUUUUCGUAAUUCAACGUGUUUAACACACACGUUAUCGUAAUCGGCUAUUCUUGUCAUCAUUGUUUCACAUAGAGUAAUAACUACUCUAUAUUGUUUCAUCAAUUUUAUUUCAUUAUUCUAUUAUAUCUGGUAUAUGUAAACUUAUCUUUAAUCGUUCUAAAUUUUUUUUUUCAAACCUAAACAUUUGUCAACAUUCUUCAUUGGAACGUUCUUCUAAAUUGAAAUUUUCAAAUGCGUGUGAUCUGACACGUAUGAAACGAUAAUAAUUCCCUAGCUAAAAUGUAUUCUACAUCAUCGGCUGCAAUUUUUUCCAAACUCACCAACUCCGAAAAUUCUUCCAUAUUAAACUAAAGAUUUACUUUCAAAUGUAAAAUAAAAAAUAACUAAAAAUCGAAUUUACGAAACUAAAAUUACGAUAACUACUAUGAUAUGCGUAAUGAUUACAAAAUAUUUUAACGGAACGGAUCUUCGAUAUCUGGUAAUGCAAAAAAUAAAUUUUCAAUGAUAACGUGGUAAGUAUUAACGUAUGAUUUAACCGAACGUUAUUUUUACCGUAUUGUUUAACCGGCGUUGUGCAAAAAUUCUCUAAUAUAAUAGGUGUACACGGUUAAUCCAACGUCCAGUUUUACUUAAACUGCAUUGAAUUUAGAGUUUUCUAAUACCACCAAAGUUUUGGUCGUAAUUUUUUACAUAAUUGUUUAAUAGUUUUCAGAAUUUAUUUGAAAUUACUACGGUCGUUACAACCGAAAUAUCGAGGCAAGUUUUUCCUUGCUGCCGGUUUUAAAAAAAUAAUUAGAAAAUUGUUUAUUUAAUCGGGGACUUAAUACCAUAGAUUAAAUCGUUACAUAUUUAAUUUGAAAUAUUUUUAGUUUAUAAUCUCUAAAUAAACAUUUAUUUUAUAUUGAAAAUGUAUUCCAGUUUAAAUAUUCAAAAAUGAAUACUCACACUUAACGUAUUCAACACGGAUUUUUUUUUUUUUUUCGCUGUUUAGUAUUGUACAUCGAUAUGUGGGCAUUACUUUAAGUCCGAAUGACCAAAAGCUUUUCGAAAAAUACAUUUAAACACUAAACAAAAAUAGAAAAAAAAUACGAAAUAAGUGUUUUAACGCGUUAGCGUUGUACAGUUCGAAUCGAAUUAUCAUGCAAUUGAAUUAUAUACGUCACAUCACGGUGAAUAGUGUGAAUAUUAUUAUUUUUCUCAAAAUCAAAUCGUCAAAACAAAUGCGCGCUGUGCGAGUCACCAGCCCGAAAAAUCCUUUAAAAGUUUAUUCGGUGCCUACCUACGCGUUAUUACAAAGUCUGUCACACGAGGUUUGAUUUCCUAACGAGCACGUUCCCGGACAUUAGGUACGGCGGAGACGAAACAGAGUUGCUAGAAAGAGAGUAAAGGUAUAUAUAUAUAUAUAUAUAUAUAUAUAUAUAUUCAGAUAAAGACGGUUAGCCUUUGUGGAAAUCACGUGGAACUUGUCGUCGUCGUCGUACGAACGUGACGGUCGAGUUUUCAAAGCUAAAUCCACCUGUAAUUACGGUUUCAUCCCCGCACCCACAAACGCCGGCCGAGGGCGGGUCACGUUAUUCCCCACACGCCCGUCUUCGAACGUUCCCAAAUGCCCUCGGGAUAGCUCCGUCUCGCUUGCUCUUUGCGUCCAAAACUCUCGACGCGGCCGAUAUAUAUAUAUAUAUAUAAGUGUAUACAUUUCCUUACCGCGAAUACCAGUAUCACGGUAACGUGGUAACCGUGUUAGACCUGCAUCGGGGGUCGGUAACGAGCGACCGUCGACUCUGGCCAUUUGUCAAAAGCUCAACGGCGACGCCCACCGGCCCGAAACGACCUCGCGGAAAUUUGGCAUCUCAAAUGAUCGUAUAUUUUAUUGUCUACGGGUCUAUUUAAAACGGAGAUGAGAAUAUAUACCGGCAAUCGUAACCAGACCUCCCUUCGCCUAUAUAAUGGCCUUAUCCACUUAGGGGGGUAGAAAAAACGAAAUCGACCAAUUUCAUAACAUAAUUUAUAAAAUUCAAAUAUUAUUUGUUUGAUAACAUUCGAACGAUUAUUAGUUAAAAUAUCUAUUUAAGUUAGAAGUUACUUUUCCUAAUAACCAGUCAAAUUUACUGUUCAAAACAGAAUAAUUGUUAGAAAAUAACUUGGUUGAUACCUAACUUAAUUAUUUAUUUAAAUAUAUAAUUUAAACAUAUUAAUAUUAUUUCGUUAAAAAUUAAGUUAUUAACGAUUUUUUUAAAUGAAAACCGUGCACCUGUAUUUUUUUUCCACGAAAAUACACGUUUUUUUUGUGAAUAUCGUUAUCAGUUAUCAUCACCGUUCAAAAUAGACAUGCAGCCUGACAUUUAACUAAACUUAAACUAUUGUAUUCUUGAAUAUAUUUUGUUAAACGCGAAUGUCACAUUAACUUGCCCGGCUUUGUUAUUUGAUCGCUAGGGGAGGGGGUUAUCCACUAAAUUAUUAUGAUCCGUCAAGGUCACGUAUGCAUCGCGGAAAUAAUUUGUUUACCGCCUAUUCUCCGUAAAAUAUGUUUCGCAUCAAAACUACGUAAAUGUGUCGGCAAAUCUCGUACGUUUAACGUUUAUAAUAACGAUAACACGUGGUGCGCGCGCAGUAAUAUAUUUUAUUGUCGUACAUCGAAACGUGGAAAAAUAGAAUGGGGGAGGGAAAACAAAAAAAAAAAAAAAACAAUCGUCGAAAAACACGAUGACUUAUCGCACGGAAAUAUUAUAUUAUUAUAAUAGUAGUCGUUUUACAUUCAGAACACUGGGCGCGUAUAUUAUAUACGUACUCGUCGUAGUGUUGUCGCGUACUCGUGUGUGAAAUCGAAAUUACUUUCGCCGUUGCCGGGUGCCGAAGACGAGCGGGGGGGAGGGGGUGCGUUUCGAAGACGAACGGUAUAUGUACACACAGGGUGAUCCGUUUAAGUGGCUACACUCGAUAUUUCGAAUAUUCGUUUUUUUUUUUCAAACAGUUUUUUUCGUUUGUUUUUCGACAAUAAUUUUUCAAGAAGCGAGCAGCUCUGAAAUAUUACGACUAUUCCGAAUUUCGGUUUUCAAAAUACGGUAUUCUGUUUAUCGCCCCCUCCCCUCCUGAAAACAAAGGCACUAAACAAUUAAAUAAAUACUAUAUUUUAGAGCCGCUUGUUUUUUUUUUUUGCAUCGUUGAAGAAAUAAUUACAUAUUUCCCAAACAUCGAGUGUAUUCACUUGAACGGACCACCCUGUAUAGGCACUCGUAUUUUUAUUAUGACAUUAUUAUUAUAUUUCGUUGUUUUCCCCCUAUCGAACGAACAAUAUAAUAUAUCGACGACCUUUCGCGCCAUCGUUUUAAAAAUGGAUUUUACAACACCGUUUUCGCAGCAGCAUCAGCAUCAGUAGCAGCAGCAGCGGCAGCAUCAGUAGCGGCAAGAGCGGAUUAAUAAUUACGUCUUCCGCGUGACGUACUCGCCCGUUUCACGGAUGACCGACUGUGUACCUACUACCUAUAGUCGGAUUCAUUUGUCUAAUAACCUGUUAACUAUAAUGGCGCCUAUUAAACAACGGUCGACGACGGGUUAACUAUAUAGCCCUAUCCAAACAGUGUAGGCGACGUUUCAACAAUAAUCGCGCGAGACUACCAACAUGCGCGAGAUAUCGCGACAUCACUCGCCCGUUUCGCUGUAAUAUACGCAUAAAUGAUUAUAAAAUUGCGAUUUAUUUGUGGUUUUCGGGCCCGCGGCGAUUUGCAGCCGCACGACUCGCGUACCCGUUCGUUUUAUACGGAGAAAGGGGCGGAGGGGCUUUCGAUGUAGUGUAAAAAAAGAAUACACCGUGUUGUCCUACAGUAGUAUAACGGUUCCGCUGUCCCCGCGAUUUUAACGAAAUUACCGACGAAACAAAAAUAGUAUUUGUUAUUUUGUCGAGUUCAUCGAUUUAAAAUUAAACGUACUCGAAUAUUGACCUCUUUGCGUUAGUAUUCAAUUUACUAUGAAAGUCCCUUCUGAUUGUAUGUACGCGUAAUAUCGCGUGGGAAACAUUAAAAUUUGUUCCCAUUUAAAGUAUUGCAAAAAAAAAAAAAAAAGGAAACAAAACAAAACCACUUUUAAAAAAAGUAUUUACUAUCGGGUUUUCGGUAUGCAUUCCGGGUAUACUUGUCGUUUAUCUUUGUAUACCUGUAUAAACUAUAGACAUAACGAUCAAAAUGUAUGUAAAACGAACGGUUUAAAGGUUUUGAAAACGCUCGUCGGUGGAAAAUAAUAUAGAACACUAAAUAUCCAGAAAAGCGAUUUAUCGACGAUUGUUAUCGGAAAAAAACUUUUAUUCGAUUGAUCGACCGUGUUAUUGGACUUACUCCUAUGUCCGCCGCAGUGACCGGGUCGUAUGCAUUUUUAUUUUUAUUUUUUUUUUUUUAUGGUCGGUUGCGGGUGAACUCAAAUAGUAUAGUGCAUAAUACAAAGAUAAAUGAUAGACUUGAUAAUGAUAUUAUAACGUUAUUAAAAAAAAAAAAAAAUAAAAAAAUACCCAUAUAUCGUGAAUAUAUCCAUUGUUUUAUAAUAUUCUCUCUGUAUACGUACGUACACUGUGUUUCCAGCACUUAUAGAAUAUUAAACACAAUAUUAUUAAAAACAGCAGUGGCAUUCCCAUCAUUCCACCGUCACCGCCGCCACCGAAGGUUUUUCAUUGUAAAAUAGAAUAAACAGAUAUCAUUUUAUUUUUUUUUUACAGACACGCACACACACACACACACACACAUAAACACAGCGCUCGUUGUAAUGAUAAAUAUUCCUAUAUGCACCGCGAGGAGUAUCAUUAUGUGUACUUACGUGUAUAUAAUAUACAGUUCAAAUAAAAUGCUUUUGAAAUAAUAAAUUAUUUCGCGAAAUGUAUUAUACGAGUAUGAAACAAUAAUAAUACUAACAUAGGUAUGUACGAAUAUUUUUUUUAAAAUUAAAUCGCUGGAUGUAUGAUAUUUCAUGUUAUUGUGUAGAUACCGGGGACCGGAACCUUUACGAUUUUAAGGGUUUCGAUUUUGUUUCGGUUCUUUAAAAAAAAUAAUAAGGCUUCCGGUCUUUUGAUUUUUAAGAAGUUUCGGUCUUCAACUGGUCUUUUUCGGUACGGUCUUUUAUAAGGUGCCAGUCAAUCAUGGAUGAGAUACUUUUAUAAUUUAUUUCACCAUGAAAUAAACCACUAGGCCUAUUCGACUUAUAACAGAGCGUUAUAAAAUAUAGAAUACACAACAUUUCCGUAUUUCAAGAUAUUUUCAAUAAAAUAUAUUAGUUUUUUCAACAUGCCCAAAGGUCAAAGAUAGUUUAAGGAUUCCGAUUACAAUACGGGAAAUGAGUGUGUGCGAGAUUUCCCGGAAUUUUUAUGUUUUGUAUGUGUUACUGUGUGAUACAUAGGUACAACGUAGUUGGGUAUCAAUAAUAUAAAACCCAGUGCGAUAAGCGCCGUAAGAAAAAUUUAAUUAUAACACUUGUAUUGCUGGAUGAUUAAAUUAAAUACAAAGAGAACGCAAUUCACAAUAGAAAAUAGUGACUCGCGGAUUCCACGGGGAAUACGAUCGCUUGAAGUCAGUACAUUCGCGAGUCUACGAGAUGAUGGAUUAGGGAAGUGUUUAUUACCGGUGGAUAGAUCUACGGUUUAAUAUUAAUUAUUACUACUACUAUUUGUUUAAAAUGUAUAAAUCAUAAAUUGGAAUUUAUUACCGAAAAACAAAAAAAAAAAAAAACCGCAAAAAACCUCUACAUCAAAAUAAAGGUUUUGGUUCUAAAAAUAAAAACAAUUUAAUGUUUCGGUCUUGUGAUUUUCAAAAAUAUUCUGACUUUAACCGGUAUUUUACGGUUCCAGUUCCUGGUAGAUACACGCAAAAAAAAAAAAAAUGAUUGUAUAUUUGCGUACUUUCCACAUUCCUCUGCGGUCUAUAAUAAUAAUAAUAUGCGCGAUAUUAAUAAUAAUAAUGAUUUAAGUCGAAUAACAUUUGGGUAUGUACGGAUAUUUUAACAAAACAAAAAUUCAAGGACCGCAACAACAUUUGUAUAACCCGAAAAUAUUAUUAUUUAUUAGAUAGGUACCCAAAAACAGCAAGAAAAAAACAGGUAUCGUAUUGUGUAGAAUAACUUUCAACAAAUGAUAAUGUAAGCGGAAUAUUUUUCAUCGCCGUUUUUUCUAGCGGAAGAUAUAUUGUUAUAAAAUCUACGUACGAGUAUAAAUCCGUAUUUUAAGUACACACGAAACAUGCUCGGAAACCGAAAUUCGCCUAGGUGCAAUACAAUAAUGUAAACACGAUGGAAUCAUAAAGUGGAUUAUGGCGAAAUUGUAAAAGGUAAUAAAUGUUAGCAGAAAACACGAGUAAAUGAGUCAAUAAAGAAAUCGGCGGAUAAGCGCGUGAUAAAAAAAAAAAAAAAAAGGUAUAAUAUAGAAAUAAGGUAAAAAAGAGGAUCGAAUUUCACCGGAAACGAGAUCGAACGAAAAUAUCAGAUUAGCGAUCAUUAUUAGGUUGCGGGAUGAACCAUAACUCUUAAAGGACGGGUAGGGUAGUUGCGAGGAGGACGAUUUUCUCGAGAGUUUACUCAUCAAAUUUGAAAAACCAAAAAAUAAAGGGGAAAUAUAUUAGUUAAAAUAUAACAUUUAAUGACAGCAAUGUUUCUAAAAGGAAAUUUUAUUAGGGAGGUACUUUAAAGAAAUCAUUUUUCGAUUUUCCCAAGAUUUUUUCCAGCAAAUGUGAAAAACCAGGAUAAAAAAUAAGAAAACCGGGGAAAAUGUUGGAAAACUGGAAAAAUCGGUACAACGUCUAACAAAUAAUAUCAUAGAAAAUAUAUAAAGCCUCUUUAUUUAGAUUACUAUAAAAUAACAUAUAUAUUGUUGGCAAAGCAACAUUAUCAACUGAAUUCCGCUCAGAAUCGAUUUUUGUAAGCAAUAGUUAAUCGUUACUUAUAGGUAUACAUUAAAUUACCUAAGACAGUGGUUGCAUCCGUCUCUAUUAUCCUGGGACUUUUUUUUUUUUUUCAAUCUGGUUUUAUGGGAGGGGACAUAUAUAAAGGCACAUUUUUGUUAUUUUCAUCUCUUUAUCAUUGAAAAAAAAUUAAUUUUAAUUUUUUCAAUUUUUAAAAUUUUCAAAAUUGUUAUUUUGUAAAAUGUAUAUAUUUUGUGUGAAAACAAUUAAUUUAAAAAAUGGCUAUUUUAAAAAUUUCGAAAAUAGAUAAUACAAAGUUAUUUUUUUUGCGAUAGUUAAAUGAUUAAAAUAAACAUAUUAUUUUUCUCUACAUAAUAUAUUGCAUUGUUCUUGCUUAAAUCCCGAUUGAAAAAAAAAAAUAAAUACCGUCAGAAUUAUUAACAUAAGGAUAACAUUAUGUAACACACUGUAUAUUGCCGUAAGAGAAAGUGCCCCUACAAAAGACGAGAUUUUUAAGGAUAUGGCGCAAACGAAGGGGCGAAAAAAAAGAAUCGAGGGGAAAUAGGAGACGAUACUGCUGUGAGGUGCUAUCUGUGAAGCCGGAGAGUUUAACGGAUUUUCAGCGAUAAGCUCCCUUGAUGUUUUCGAGUGUGCAAAGGGUACUAUAAUGUUAGAAGUAAGAGUAAUGCUAAAAUCGUGCACGAAGAAGGCACCGGCAGAAGCGACGGGCACGUUAUCGUUCGUUUGAUAAGAAAAUAUUUUACGGGUGAGUGAAUAUAUUUAUUUUAGAAGCGAUGUUUAAUCGUAUAAUAUUAUUUGUUUCCCUCAGUUAUUCGUUUUUUAUUUUGUUAUUUUUUUUAAAUUUUUAAUAAAUAAUUACAAUUUCCGACCAGUUGGGUUCCCGAAUUGGUUUAAGUUGUAUAUAUUACAAUGACAAUAAUACACUUAAUAUAAUAAAAGAAAAUAUAUUUUGCAUUUGGGAACAACGGGAAUUGUCGGAGAUAAGAACUCAACCGGGACUGUAGCACUUUCCACAUUGUAAUACAUAAAACGCGAUACGUUUUAAGUCUGGAUUACGCGGCGAAAGUGUUUGUAUAAUAUAUAAUAUAAUAUAAUAGGUUUCCAGGGAAAUGUACGCACGUUUUUUUUUUAUAUAUACUCGUAUAUAUAUAUAUUUUAAUCAUAAUAAAUUAUAGAACAAUAAAUUAAAAACGUUUUAUGUUUCUCGAAUAUAGCCAUCUCAUUAGUCAUCGCAUAUUACAAUAGCUGCGGGUAGGUAGCAGUACCAUGGCGAAAGUUUCGAUCCAUAAUACGUGGGCUGGUUUUUAAUUAAAAAACAAAAAAUAAGUAUAAUAAUAAUGAUGAAUUAUACCUAACUAAUUUUCUAAUAUUAUUCGAAUGUAUUCGGAAAAUUAAAUACGGUUUUACGAAGAUUGGCCAAAAUGACUUAAAGUUAGUCGCAAGGCUAUAGACUCAAGGAAAUAAUAGAAUUCGUCACAGUGACAUGAGGUAUAAAAAAGCUAAAAAAGACGGUCUUAAUUCACACGUGGGUGCAGCUACUGCUAUCGGUAGAAAGUUUGAAAGGUAGGAAGCAGAAGGGAAUUUAAUGUAUAUCUGUAAGCAAAUAAACCAUUGCUAACAAAAAAGCGAUUCUUAGUGUCCUUUGAUAACAAUAUACAUAUUUAUAUUAUAUCUAUAAUUGUAAAAUAUUCACAUAUGCAUUAAACAUUCAAUUUGAUAAUAUGUGUUUAAUAUCGUACCUGUUUUCCCGUGUUCCCCUUUUACCUCUGUUUUUGUUUUCGGUUUGUCCAAUGUAUUGAGAAAAUUAAAAAAUUAACCAACCCAAAGUACCUACUCAAAUUUCAAAAAAAUUGCAAAAUUUCCGGAAAAAAAGAUGUUCAUAGAUAAAAGAAAAAAAAAGAAACAUCAUUUUAAAACCAUAUUCAUCUUUGCUCCACUAAAAAUCUAAAAAAGGAGUUCACGUAUAAAAACGAAUUGUCCUUUUUAAUAGAGGAUGUUAAUUUGUUGCAUUAAAUCAUUUGUAACACUGAGAAAUAUUUUGUUGUUUCUAACGAUGCACCGUGAUGCUCAUGGAAAGUUAUUUUCAGAAUUAACGCUAAAGGCCACUAAGACGGUGCUCACUUCAUAUCGGCAAACCGUUAUCAACGUUCGAUCCGAUUAGGAUCUUUUUUUAUUUUGUGAAAUUGUUCGUGAUAUUUUAGAACCUCCCCCAGUAUCUAUCGAUGAUAAUAAUAAUAAUAAUAAUAAUAUUUUAAUUCGGCUCGCAGUACAAGUCGUCUUCCGGAACAAUAAAUCUUUGCACGUGCGCAAUUUUUUCCCAUGUCACACAAGAACGGAUCUGUAGUAUUAUAAUGUCCGCUAUAUCGUCACACGCGUAUAUUAUAAAGGUCGUAUAAAAGAUUUCGGAACGAGAACAAUAUAUAACGACAUCGCGCGUGGAAAGAAACAAUAUAUAUAUAUAUAUACAUAUUAUAUAGGUACUGGGAGGACCGAUCGAUAAUUCACGGGGCGUUUGGUGUGUAAAAAGACCGCGCGUUGAAAAGGUUCCAAAAAAAAAUUGAGAUGAAAAAAAAAAAAAGAGUCCAUUCCGGUUUUCCGUCCGAAUUUUAAUUUAUUUUCAAAAGCGACCGUUGUUUCCUGUCCGCGGCCGGUUUGUACGCACUCCGCGUCGAUAUAUUAUAUAGUUUACGGUCGAAUAUUUACGACGCCGCCGUUUUAUAAUGUUACCAUUUCCAAGGCACCUAUAUAUAUAAAACGAACUCGGUUGAUCGUGGCCAGACUGUGGGGGGAUCCGCAGGGAUGUUGGUGGGGGCAAAUGUUCGGACCGUAUAAUAGUAUAAUACUUAUUGGCCCCGCGCACGGGUUUUUAUUCCUCGGGUUAUCGAGUUGCAAUGUUAUUUAACGUUAUAAUAAUAUAUAAAAAAAAAAAAAAAAAAAAAAAAAAAAUAUAUAUAACAAUGUAAAGAUUGGGUUUCAAAACGUUGCGAAUUUUAACGAACUCUUUCGUUUCUACUUUAUCCCAACACGUCGUUUUCUCCACCACCAUUAUUGUGCUACUUCUGUGCUGAUCGUUCUUUCUUUUUUUUUUUUUUAUGUAAACUUGAUUCAUUUUUCCUGGUAUGGCUUUGACGGAAUAUUAAUUUCGAACGAAAAGUGAACAUUUAUUAAAAGCUAUGUUUUUUUUGUUUUUUUUUUUUUUUUAACAAAGAUAACGCGAGAAAAAUAAGUAAUGUUAAUAAAGUACGUAUGUAUUUAAAAUAUUGUAAGAUUAUAAAUAUUAUACAAUUUUUUCUGUAACUUACUAAUACAAAAAAAAAAAAUCGUAAGCAUAAAAAUAAUAAUUUUAAAAUUUCCUUUAAUAAUUGUAUUUCUAGAGGUUACCUAUAUUAUCUCUUAAGGUUUUUUUUUUUUGUUCUUUCCAAAUCCGACGAACCAUCACGAAUUGUUUUUGGCCGACGACAUUGUUUUUUCGAAAAACGCAGUGUUCCGGAAAACCAUAAAACGUUUCCGAUGCUUUAAAUUCAGUUAUCGUACUUACCGGAUGGACGUUAUAUACAUACCUACACACACACACACCCACACACAUAUAUAUAUAUAUAUAUAUAUAUUGUAUUCGAUGUCAUCUUACGUCUUAAAAUCUAUUAUAUAGGAUAUGACCGCCCGUAAAAAUUCUCAAAUUCUCACCUGAAACAUAAAACAAUACAUUAUAUAUUAAUAAAAUUAGGCGGUGAAUUUGCAUAUUAUAUUUUAUGCAUUUAUUCGGUUUAUAAUUUUUUUAUUUUAUUGAUUAAAAUAUUAGUUUUUUUUUACUAAUUAUAGAUUAUUUUCUACGCUGUUAUAAUUCUUCGUUAAUCGAUUAGAAUUUUGAAAGCGAAAAUAAUAUUGUGGGUUAAACGUUUCGAAAGGUUUUAUUUGAAUUUUCGAAGUAGACACGUAUACGCUUAUCGAGAGCGUUAGUGAACUUUUACCACACCCUGUAGGUAACUAUUGAAAAUAUCAAAAAGCAUUGGUGGUUCUGUCACAGUACCGGAUACGAAACGUAUAAGCCUAUUGAUUUUUAGGCUUAAAAAAAAAACGAUACAAAAUAGAUAAAAAUGACAUUAAUUAAUUAAUUAAUUAAAAUCAAGUAUGGUGUUGAAAUAUUUGAAAAGAGUUUGCUUAUCAAAUAAAUUGUAAUUGUACGUGUCUAUUAUACAUGCCAUAGAAAAUAUGAAAAUAAUAAUAUCAACUAUAUAAUUAAGACGUUGGUUCUACGGGAUAUGAUGAGAUUUACUCCCACACUCUUGAUAAGGAAAACAAAUACACUAAAUAUUUUAAUAUUGUAAAUAAUAUGAAAUCUUCAGUAUGAAAACUCACUAAUUUCCCACUCGGGUUGUUUUGUAUUUUUCAAAUGGUCACAAUAAAGGUGUUCCAUUUAAGUGGAUCCACUCAUUAUCUUGAAAAGUAAAAGGUUUUUCGGAAUUUGUUUUAUAGAAUGUACCAAGCAGCUUUAUAAUUUUACAUUUCAUGUUGUUUUUUUGUGGGUAAAACUACUAAUUAGAUUUGAUAUUUAAAUGGUACCUUUCAGAAAAAUUCCAUAAAUGUAUGAAAUAUAUUUGAAGCACAUUGAGAACAAUAUUAUGCCAUUUCCAUGCAUAAUGUAAUUAUAAAAUGAUUAAUAUAUGCUUCGAUUACCUCCAUUCGCUCGCUUUUCGAGUACACAUCGGAAAUCGAAAAUAACCUCCGAUUUGAUAUGCAAAUCUAUGUCAAAUUUGUCACGAGGGAAAAAUAAUUCCGUGGAAUUUUGCACAUAGGUUGUCGCGGUUGGGAGAACUGCCCGAGUUCCCGUUACUACACUCCUUAUGGGUACUUUAGCGCGCAAACAUCAGAUUAUACCGUAACGUGUAUUCCGUUUCGAGUUGAUUAAUGCAAAACUUCACCAACGCGUUCAAUAUAAUAAUUGUUUAGGAAUAAUAAUAUUAUUUAGUGUAUUAUUCGACGGGGGGAGGGCUUAUGAUAAUUGGCUUAGAAAUGAUUAACUCCCGUGACUCGAGGUUUAAAUCGAAUACGUUUAACCCGUGCGUAUGUUAUACGCAUACAGCACUCACGAUAGUACUACAAUACAAAAUAAUAUUUUAUGCAUAACGGGCGUGGUUUGUGGUGAAAUUAAAUUCCGCGUUAAAAUACGUUGCAUUAAAAAUUAAUCAAAAAAUCUCCGGAAUAAUAGGCGGGGAAAAAUGUAACUACGGUAUUAUAGGUAACCGGUAUAUAGGCACUUAGGUAUUUAAAACGAACGAUUUUCGUAUAAUAUCGCGGGAAUUAUUAAUGUGCAGUCUCUCUUAUUGUAGUGCCGGAGUGGUAAAUUAAUUAAAUAAAAUUACGUAGGCGGUACGCUGGGUAUGCACAUGGCGAAAAUCUGACAAACUGCUAUAACGAUAAUGUGCGAAUCGUAUUUUGUUCUCUUUCUCGUUUGGUUAUACAAAAUACGGAAAUCGUCGCUAACAAAACGGUUUAUCGAUUUUGGCUUAUACAAGUUAUUUUUUUUUGUCACGUAACAAUGACACAUUUAUGAAUUAAAAAAGGUUAUAGGCUCGCGCCACUAUUUUAGGCGGGUGGUAAGAUUUUAUCACUACGCAACGAUUUAUCGUUUCUUAUGAAAAAAACAGCUGAGUAUUAUAGAUCGUAAACUAAGGUAACUCGGAAAUAAAAAAAAAUAAUGUAAAUCGAUGUUCCAGUGUUUCCCAUUUAUUUAGAAAACUACAUGAAAAGUAAAAUAAUAACCCUCUCAGUGCACCAACUAGAUCAAGAAGUGGCUACAAGAAAUAUCCUAUUAAGGUUUUGAUUAGUAUGACACUAUUGUUAAAACAUUUAUUUUAUAAACACCUAAAUAGACCUCUGGCCGGUACAAGAUAUUACAUUAUGUCUCAGCCUAAGUUCGAAUUACAGAUAUAUGCGAGUGAACAAUUUUUUUGGAAAACCGCCGGGAAUGUAGAAUAUUGUUUAAAAUAAAGUGGUGUCGGGCGCGUUUCCGCCACGUUUUUGCUACCACAGCUUGAAAGUUUUUGUGACGAUUUCCCAACCACGUCGUCUUGUAGUAAAACUAAUGUACAGUUACUUCGUUACGCUCGCAAUCCGAAACGAAUGAAAACUCGUUUGUAACAUUAUUAUUGUUAUUAUUAUUAUUAUUAUUAUUAUUAUUAUUAUUAUUAUUAUUAUUAUUAUAAUGUCUAGCGAAACCCGAUGAGCGAGAGGGGCACGUGCGCGGCGCGCGCGUUUCGCGCGGUGGUAAAUCACACUGCACGUCGACCGAGAACAAAUAUUACGUGCGGAAUAAUUAAUAACGCGACGAUAAAUCAAAACGGUAUAAUAUAGAUACAAAGCUAAAAGAUACAUACAUUCAUAAUACAAGUCAAUAAUUAUCUACGAGCGUUUUAGACGCGCAUAGUACGCGUUCCGACGUGUUAAUGAUAAAUUACUUUACGGGUGACUUGCGUCCUAAUAAAUAAGAAUGGGCUCAGGCAUUUCUCUCCCCCCCACCAUCCUAAAUAACGCAAAAGCAAAAAAACUACAGAAAAAAUGGAAAUCUAUUCACCCCACUGACCUACCGAGAUAUAGAGCUAAGUUCCGAUACGAGUCCAGGUGGCCGAAGGAACCCCUAACGAAAUAAUGUAGUUAUGUUUUAGCUGAGUGAAAACUCGAUAAAUAGUUUCGCUACUUGGUCAAUCAAAAUAACGCCAAAAUGCUUUAAUAGCUAUACAGUAAUGGACCAUUGAUAAUCAGGUACAGUUUAAGAGAUGUUUAAUUGUUUACUGAUUCUGACCACUCGGCUUUCAAAAAGUGCAUUAAUUAAACAAACAACCGUCACAGUAAACAAUAUCACCAAAACUAUUUAUUCAAAAAUCGGUUUUAGUUUCUGGGUUCUGAUUAGUUUUCUCGCACACUCUUGCCUCGUUCAGCAAUAAAAAAUCCAAUAUAAUACAAUGCAUACAUCUUGUUUGGGAUGAGAUUUUAAAUAUUUUCCUUAAAAUAUGAGAAAAAUUUGAAAAAAAAAGCCGGAAAAAUGAAAGUAAAUAAGAAAAUACCCGCUAAUCGUUAGUUACGGUCUUGUUGGUUUCUAAUGAUUUCAAUGCUGCACUUAAUGUUUUGUAUUUUAUUUUUAACUUAGCAACGCAAAGAAUUUUAAAGGCAUACAUUUCUUUAGAGCUACUCAUAACUAUAUUGGUGAGUUUUUUCUCGGUUUUAUAUGAAUUACUACUUCAAAAAGGCCCUAACGUUAUAUACAUAUGCAAUUUACUACUAUGAUAAUAUUAUAGACAAAUAUCCAACAUUUGUAGUCGGGAUUUUCUUUAUAAGCAUUUGAAUUUCACAUAUUUAUUUAUACAUAUUAUUUUCUAAGUAUUUACGUACGUUUAUUUUGAGUAGAUACCAACAUCAUCACGAUGACGUUUCAUUUAAUAAAACGAUAUUCAAUUUUUAACCUUGCGUUAUUAUUGCGAACAGUAAAAUAUUUUCACCGGUAAAGCAUAACAACGUCAUAAUAAAUACAUAAAUACCACGCACUAAAUUGUACGUUAUUUGUCUUUUACUAUAGAAACAAAAGAAAAAAAUCGUUUCUACAAUGAUUGAACGCGUUUGUGUAUUGUUUUAAAUUAAACAAAUGGCUUCAUUGUCACCGAAAAUCGAAUAAAAUGAUGUAUGGAAAAAUUAGGAAAUCCACGGAACAAGAAAACAAUGCGUAAAAAUGUAUAAGAACGAUUUGGCAUAAAUACCUUUAAUAAUCGUAAAAAACGUCAAUAAAAUUGCCUAUAUAUAUUCGCAUCUUGUUCUGUUUUACCCAUUAAUGAUCACCGUGCGCUGUAGUGAAUAAGUGAGCGAAAACGUAAUUAAUCGUUUCGAAAAAAAUAAUGGAGGUUUCGAUAACAUCGAUGAGCUUGUUGUGCUAUUGAUGGGAUACGGGAAGGUAGUCAAACGGGAGGGGGUUGUUAGAGACGCGGGCAAAUGGAUAUUUCCAUAAAUAAAUACAAUUUUCGACGUUAUAUUAUAAAACGAGUUGGGAACUGGAGGAGAAAUCGUAACCGGCGAAUGGGUGGAAAGUGCAGAGGAAGUUACGACCCGCGGCCGGGACAACUACAAAACGAACUAUAGGGAGAGGUGUGGUAAAGAAGAGAAAAAAAUCCACCUCUCCUAAAGCUCCCGAGACUGCCCGGGAAAUUUACUACAAUUACCAUCCGGUAUUUAUUUUUUUUAAUUUCCUGUAUCUCCAGCUGAAAUAUACGGUCCCCCGACCCUUUCAACCGUAAUCCGCGGGACCUGAGCAUAGCCUGGGCUUGAAGGGUUGGGGGAGGCUUGAAAGGCAAGAAACGCCUUAAUUAUUAUGCUACCGGGUUUCGCGCGCCGAGUGCCGACCCCCUUUAUUUUCAUUUUGUAUUUCGGUAAACGGUACUUGCACAUAAAAUCGGCAAUACAUCAGCAUUGUCGGUCAAACUAGUUUUUCGUUCACCAAAACCUGGUAUACAUGCUGAUUAUUUAUCCAUUGAUUCCUAGAUCUAACUAUUAUCUAGCGAUUAUCUAUACACAAAAAGUUUUUGAUAUGAAUUUUUUUUUUAUAAAUGAUAUGCUGUGAUACUCACAUGUUCUGUCUCUGUCAUAUAAACGUAUGAUAUAGCAAAUUUUCGUUCAGAAGGGACAACUUUGCGCUAUCAAUUUUAAUAUUGCAAUGAACCCUUUAAGAAACUUAAAGAUAAAAACAUUUCCACUGCAAUUAAAUUUGUUUUUUUUUUUUUUUUUAUUAUUCAACUUAAAAGUUGGAUAUUGUGAUAUGAAUAUGUAAAACAAUUCAAAAAUAAUUAUACCUUGUUUAAAAAUUGAAAAAUCGACGUAUUUUCACAGAGAAGAAUCAUAAUAUUUAAGUUUGAUAAAAGGCUAAUUCACGGUACCUAUAGCGUUUUCCUAUAGUUAAACGGACAUUUGUUAUGUCGUACGUUUGUACACGGGAGAUAGAACCGAGCCAAGAUAGAAUGGACUGUGAUGAAUCGCAAAUGUUUUCUCUGUUAUCACAUCACAGCAAACAGACUGGUUGUAGCGCUACUGGUAGUAAUUUCUGGCGUCAAAUGAUAUUAUCACCCGUGAUGUUAAGUUUGUCCAUUAUAAAACCAACAAUAGAUAUUACAUAUUGACAUCCCUCACUUGUCUCUAGUACACCAACUAAAUGCCACUGAUAGACCACUAUGUACCUGUCAAUAUUCUAACUUAGUUUGUCCGUUCACUGUAUAAAUUAAAAUACUGAUUGAAUUUUGAACCUUGCAAGUGACACUAUCGUAACGUUACGAUAGACGCUCAAAUCAUUUAUUUUCUAUUUAAUCAAUAAGAACAAUUAAUACACGUACGACGAUUAAUAUACGGUUUCAAAUUAACGUGCACAUUAUUUCCUGGAAAAAAACAAUUGUAUUUGACAGACGAAUUUGUGUAAAUAUUUCGGUUUCUUGAAGUUUCAUUAUUAGGGAGGAGGGGUCUAAGAAGAACGAAAAAAAUCUAGAAAAAAAAAAAAAAUUAUAAAAUAAACUCCAAAUGGCCACAACGAUAGUCUCUGACAUGUUUACAGACUGAAAAAAAAAAACCCAAUAAAAGUGUAGACCAUACAUGUAUUAUAGUAACACACAUCGCUAAAAGCAAUACGUUAUCAUCGUUCCGAUCGGAAUCAAAAAAACAAAACGGCUUAACUGAAUUUCGCGUCAUUAAUUAUUAUAUACGCGCGUAACGAAAUAUCGAUUAGUACGACUGUACCUAUUGUGGAUUAACUUACGCUGUUUUUGGUAAAUUAUGGUUCCUUUAUACUGUACGUAUAAUAUCGUCCUAAACGGUUUAAACCGUAACAAUCAAUAUUAACAUUUUCACGCGUGCCUAGUGUGUCGAGUUUAUGAACGGGAAUUACGAUAUUGUGAUUAUUCAAUAAUACACAAAUUAUAAUAACUACGUGUCAACUAUAUAUAAUAUACAAUAUCACUAUGACAAUAAGAUAUAAUACAAUGAUCACAAUAGCCAUACAAAUCGACCAGAAACUACAAACUGUGUAUUGCAUAAACGUAUACGUUUCUGGAAAUUACGUUUAAAACGAAAAAUUGACGUGUCCGUGUUUGAAAAUUCAAGGUGAGGAGGAGAACAAUAUAUUAUUAUUCAGUGUUCCUUUCAAUGCGAUUUUUCUUAAACCGUAGUCAAAAAACUACAUCAUUGAUGAGGAAGGACAAGCGUAGGAGAGAGCGAAACUUUCCUAUUGUUCUCCUUUUCAAAUACACUCCGAUUAAAGUGGAAUGAAACUUACCUUCAGUGUAAAAAUAACGUAUAAGUGAAUCAAUUAUUAUUCCAUUAUAUACAAUAUGAUAGCUUGCAAAAAUUAAAAUUGAAUGUAGACAAAAAAUUGUAUAUAAAAAAAAAAAAAAAAAAAAUGGCAAGAAAAACUGAUGUCGGGGAGAUGGAUACACCACUGUUGUAUGUAAGAAGUCGGGAAAGUAUGAUAAAAAAGAUAUUUAAUUUAUAUCUGUGAGAAAUUUUAAACCAUUUCUAACGAUAUACGAUUCAGAGCGAAGUUCGGUUACAUAUUUUUUGAUGAACAACAUGAAUUUAAACAUGUUAUUUAUGCAAAAACUAUAUUAGUCUCCAAAUUUAUGCAUAGAGCCCAGAUAGCAUAUCCGUAAUAAUAUUAUUAUAUUAAUAUCAAUUUUUCAUUAAAAAAAUUAUAUUAUUAAAUAUACAUUGAUGGUAUACCAAAAAAAUAUUUUGUAAAAUAAUAAUAAUAAUAAUAUAUUAUUAUUAUAUUAUUAAUAACGAAUUGUUGAAAUAAUAUUUUGAAUAAAUUAAUAAUAUGACGUCUCACUGAUGAAAUAAUAAAAUACAAUUUUGAAUAUAUAAUUAUAAUACUAUUGAAAUUUAAAUAAUUAUAUUAUGGUUCAAAAAAAUUUUUUUCUUACAAAAAAAAAAAAAUGUCAGAAAAAUAUAAUUUUUAAAAUAUUUAAUAAACAAAAAGCCAUGCCAACCGUUUUUUUAUAAAUAUUAUUUAAAAGAAAAAUAUUGAAAAAUAAAAAAUUGUGUAAAUCAUUUCGUUAUAAAAAUAAUAUUUUAUAAAUCUUAAUAAAAUACAUUUUUGCUUUCUGGGAAAAGACGGUAUAUUUACGAUUUUUCACAAAAUUUGAUAUUAAGACUUUUAUAAAAACAAAGGAAUAAAUCAUACUAAUUUUUAAUUUUUUACCGUUAAAUACAACUUAUAAUAAACUUUCUGUUCAAUUUUCCAUAAUUUUUGUGACAAUUUUAUCCAUUAAGUACUCACCAAUUAAAAGUUACGUAAAAAACUAGUAAAAUUAAUAUGUCUAUACAUAUUUCAAAAAUAAUUUAAAUCUUUUAUAAAUUACACCAUUCUAAAACGAGCAAAUAUAAGUUUUGUGACCAAAUUUCAAGUCUAUACAUGUAUUUUUUCCUAAUUACGAGAAUUCAUUUUAGUUUAUUAAAAGCAUUAAUUUCAUACAUUUUACUAUUCUUUAACUUUGCUUGAUUAUCUAAAAAAACUACAAGAAAAAUCAAAAAACGACUUUGUUACUCACCGACAACAUUAAUAAUUUAACCAGAAAGGGUCAUUUGUUUUUCUAUUGGAACAAUAUUCCUGGUUGAAAAAAUCGAACAUAUAUGAAAUAGUGUUCCAUAGAAUUUUUCAUUUUGUAUUUGCAAUUUUUUACUGGUUUUCACAAUUACUAUGAAGACUUAUCGGAAAAUAAAAAAAACGACUUUUUUUUCGGCAUCUAAAUCCAAAACACAACGAAAUCGGUUCUUAAGCAUUUCUUGAUUAAAACACAUAUUUUAAGUAGAAAACAUAGUCUGUAAAAAUUAAAAACAAUGAAAUCGGUAACGUCGCGUAAAUAUUUUCCGUUUUACUUAUAGUUUCCGAUUUUCCCCCAUUGUUUUGAAAAUUCCUUAGAAAUCCAACAGAUUAUCUCCCCGUUGAAUCGACCGAUUUAAUUUUUUUUUUUUUCAGUAAGGGCGCUCCGCUAGACGCACAGACGCGAAUAAAAAAAACCACCAGCAGAACGUACAACAGUAGCCUGACACUUUUUUCAAUAAAUAUUUUCGUGUGCCGACUUUCUCUGAUCAACACGGCGAACGUUUCAUGAACAUUUAAAAGCCUGAAAUGUUUUCGUAUAGCGUUUGCGUUUCGAUUCCGAUAAACGCCGGGCGGGACGCGCGAAAUCAAAUUCCGCACGCAAAUCGAGACCGUUUCGCGUGUCGCAGUCACAAUGCGUUUCGGCGUUCGGCAUUUGCGAAAACCGCGCGUUUUCGCAAUACCGGCGCGGCGGAUCCGUUACAAUAACAACAACAACAACAACAACAACAACAACAACAACAAUAAUAAUAAUAUGCUACAAUCGAACGCGGGUCCGAAUCGCGAGGACGGGGCGGCCGCUUCCAAUAACGUUAGACGCGUACGCGCGGCGUCCUGGUUCGGCAAUUUCACCGCUCUCGUGCGCCGGGGCACGGGCGCGGCGCCGUUAUCGCGAUCAAAUUCGACGGGGCGCGCGCCACCGGUAUUGCGACGGACGAUAACGACAAUAACAAAAUUCUAUUGACGGGAACGAACCCACGGCCCCCGGUCUCCGUGACGUACGACCGUGCGUGAUGAACGAACCGCGCGCCGGGCGCGACGCAGGACCGGAGACCGCGUAAAAUUACGCGAAACUGUGUGCGCCCGAGCGAGUAGAGACCGCCGCGUAUUAUUUCUACGUGAGAUAAGGCGCAUCCGGGUACCGAACGGGGAAUGGCCGGCCGCGCGGUGAUCGGGUAAAAAGUUUAUUAUUAACUUUCGAUUUUUUUUUUUUUGUUUUUUAUUAAUUUUACUUUCGACUCGGUUUUUAUUGGUGUUUACAUUGACUAAACGAACAACGAGUCGACAUCAAACCGUACUAGGUCGAAGUGGACCGUUUGUAAUUCCGGGUUGAGUGUAUAAAUGUUCACGGACAACAUUCGACGGUUCCGGAUUAAUAUACCCUCGUGUUUAACAUUGAUCGACACAAAAAAAAAAAAAAAAAACCGUCUAUGAUCUAGAUUAAUGUUUCAAAUAAUGUACUGCGAAACAUAAAUUCCGCAUUUUUAAAUGUACGACAUGAAUAAUUUGGAUCAUUGUUUCAGAACAAUAUACCGUGUUUUCCGAGAAAAAAAAAAAUUAUACGUCUUUGUAUAAAUAUAAUGGCUUUUUCGCAAAACUCAGAAUUUACCAAUUAUUUUAAACCGAUGACAAAUCCCAUUUGUAUUUAUUCGUCGUAACCCAGGUCCACGUUUCUAUGCACUUGUUUUUUUUUUUUUUUUAAAUUUUUUAUUACGCAUAAAGGGCCAAAACUUAUACGUAUGCAUGUUAAAUUCUGUAUAUUUUAAUUAAUUAGGCGUGUCGUAAUUUUUUUUUCUAUUCUGUGAAAUAAAACUGAGUUGAACACAGCAUGAGAAAGAACGCAUAGAUAUAUCAUCAUCCGGGUCCAAAGUAAUAGAAAGUAUGACUGAAAAAUAUAUAUACAUAAAUAAAAACUCGAACUAUAUCAAUUUUACUUUACGAUAAAAGUUUUUAUUAAAACUACGUGUUUAGACUUUCAAAACAUACAGUGACUGAUUUGUAUGUUUUUUUUGUUUUGUUUGUUUUUGUAUCAAUCGUUCUGUUAUUGAUUUUAUUUAUCUACGAAAUUCUAAGUACUAUCAAUUUAAUGGAAUACAUCUGUACUUAUUAUUAUUUUCAAUUCCGUGUAAUUAUGUUUCAUACAGACAUUUUAGAUAAAACAAUAUUAGUGGGUAUAUUAUCGUAGACUAACCAAAGGUGUAAGGCAUGUUAAUCAACUGUUUACAUGAAGAUUUCGUAAUGAAAGAAAAAAAAAUUAAAGAAAAAAUUAUUCUGAACGGAGUUCAGUUGAUAAUAUUACUUUGUCAACAAUAAAAAUAUGUCAUACUAUGGUAAAAUGAUAAUUAUAAUGUGUGUUUCCAUGACAAUAGUGAUUAUUUAAAAAAGAUUAUCUACAUAAAUAAAACAAAGUCGGGUUGGUUACACCAUUUACAACUCAAAAACUAAGUUUAGUUAGUUAUUUUUUUUUUUUAAUAUAAAUUAAUUUUGUAUUGUUUAUUAAAAUAAAUAGGUAACUAAGAUAUUUAUAACAUUUUAUUUUUGCUCAACUAACUAUGCUAAUAGUUAUCAAAAACGUACCUUUAUAAAUAAAUUUUUAAAUUUUUUUCCACAUACCUUUGACGAGUUCAUUGUUAUAAUUUAAUUUCUGCACAAUCGUAAAAUCCGAUUUGUGUAAAAAAAAAAAAUUGUUUUUUGAUUGAAUAAUAUGUAAAUAAUUUGUUUAAAUGGAACUAUUCAAACGAAAUAAAUAAUCAUUUUCUCUUUUUUUUUUUUUUAAUUAAAUUUUUAAUUUUUAUCGACAAAAUAAUAUUUUAAGUAUACAUUUUCUAUAGUAUUUAGGCGAUUUAAUAUUACAUCGUAACGCGUAAUGAUACGCGUACAUUGGUAAAUAAUAAAAUUUAAAAAAAUAUAUAAGUUCAAAUAUAUUUGAAUCCAUUUCAAUAAAAUGUAAAAGAAGCCCCCUGUGAUCGUAUCACAAUCCCAACUUGUAAGUAUUUGAUGAGCAAUCGUUAAAUAUUUUCAAAUCCAUGAUUAGUAUAGAGAACACAAUGACAAAAUAAGCGUUUAGUUUAUUACUAGAACUAUCAGUCUGAUUUAUAUUUUCCAAAAAUAUCGUACACCGUGUAUUUUUUCUAAUUAGUACUAUUAUUAAAACCGUUAAAUUAAGGAAUUUUGGUCUAUUUAACGAAAACCGUUUUUAAACUACCUGUGUCUGUUCCUGAUCCCCAUAAAUCUAUAAUCCUUAAGUUUAACGUGUAUGACGGGAAAAUUUUGAUCGUGAAUUGCGACCGGUAGAUGUUUGGAUGACAAACGACGAGGCACAGGCACGGGUGUACUUGAUUCGGUAUUUCUAUAUAACUCACAAUGUUUCCGAUUCGUCGGCAAGAUCUUAUUACGAAUAACAAAAUGUAACCGCCAAACGUGGCGAUUUAAAUUAACGGGACGGAAAAUAAAUAACAAAAGCGGAAACAAUAAUUGGAAUAUCCGCGUUUGUUUUGCGAAAACUAUGUAAUUUUUAUCUCACAGUCGGAUGUGCCAGAUUUGAGAUAUUAUCGGGCCCGUGAUUGAUUAGAAAGUUCAAUUGAUUACAAGACGUUGCGUUUGUAACGUAAAAGAAUCGUUCGGAGUUCCCGUCAAAACGGUAAUGACUUUCAAUAAUCAAUCAUACUUAACGGCCGUAUAAAUUAUGAUAUUAUUUUAUUUUACUUUGCCGACGAUUAUGCUUUAAAGCAUAACAAACCGUUGUAUACCACUUUUUAUUGGUGAUUAACAUGCGAUUUUCGGGUUUGGUAUCCGUCAGCGAUAGGAGAGACGGGGAACCUAACGGCCAGUAAGUGUAGUAGAUGGAAAGGAGGCGCGGGAUCAAUCAAAUUAAAUACUUAUAAAAAUGAAAAGAAUAAUUUGCAAAAAAACUGAUGGUAGUACACGGUUGCAAUUAGAAACUUAGUAAGAUAACGAUUGCCUAAGAAAAUCAAUUCAAAACGAAAUUCGGUUGAACGUGUCUUGAAAUUGUGCCUUAAAAUUUAAUUCAACAUUUACGCUUAAUCGAUUAUAAUUAGUUUAUAAAACGCUAGUAAAAGUAUACGGUGAAAAUAAUUACUUUACUAUUAUUUUUAACCGAAUUACACAGAAAAAACCAAAUCGACAAUAAUUGAGAAAUCGUUAUUGCCGUUUAUUUUCUUGUUCUUCCUUAGUUUUUACCAAUUGUUUAGAAAACUACUUAAGGGAAAUAAAAAAAAUUAUUCAAUUAUGGACCAAUCAGUUGAUAUUUUUUACCCGCAACCAACACUAAAAUUCACAUUCAGAAAAAAUGCCCAUGUUAUUGUUUAGUUACAUUACAUUCCCUGCGAGUACGUUUAGAAUCUAAAAUAAUCCGGAUUGUGGUUUCGGAACAAACUUUUUUCAAACCAUAGUCACUAUAAUUUCAUCGAGAGUAUAUUAAGCUGAAAUCAAAGUAUAAUAUCAUGGAUUUUUCGCAACUUGCACGUGUUUUAUAAUAGUGCGUAUUAUAAUAAAACGUCACGUUUGUCGAUUAUUUAUUUCUUCGGUUUUUCGAAAAGAUAAUAAUUUAUCGGCUCAAAGGCCCGGGUUGGCUUAAUGUGUUGCAGGAAAUAUUUCGAUUAAAAUGUCAUAAUAUUAGUAGUAUAUGUAUAUAUUUAUACACGAGGUAUUAAUUUAAGUGUUUUCGGCCGCCACAGGUAAGGUCAACGUGGUUGUUCUCGGUUGUUGUUUUUGACACGAGAUCCCUAUAAAGUUACCGUAUAGAGCAAGUAAUAAUAAAUGGCAAAUUUUAGUUCCAGGUUUACAUAACCCUUUCUUAACGAACCCACACCGUAGUAUUAUAGUCAGUUUUUGUAAAAAUACUUUUCAAAUUUCUUCGGAAUACUUAUGCGAAUUUUAUUCGAAAACUGUCUUUUAAAAGUAUUUGACUAUAAAGAUAAACGCUUAAUCAAAAUAUUCAAAAUAUUCUAAAAAAUAUAUUAUUUUAUUUACAAAUAUGUUUUUGAAUACUUUAAAUAUGCACGCCUUGAGAUAAUUAUUCAACAUUCGGAAAAUUACAAUUAAACAUUUAAACAUAUUAAUGGAUAUUUAUAAUUUAAAUGAAUUCAUGAAUUUCGGAUCUUUUGCAUUAUAAGUAUUAUUUAACUUUACAUUAGCAAAUAAGCUUAUUAUGCUAGCCGAAUAGAUUACAUAUGAUAGAGUCAUAGUAACACAUUUAGAAUGAAUCGUAUUACAGAUUCUAAUAACAGACUGUUAUAAAAUAUUAUUUCAUAAACAGUUAUAAUUUAAAAUCAUUGAAUAUAUUACCAUAAUAUAACAGUAACAUAAAUAAAUAUAUAUCUUGGUUUUAUAUUUUGGGUUAAAUUUACGAUAAACAUAUACUUUCUAAGUGUUUUAAACGUCUAAAAUGUAUUUUUAACAAUAUAAUUUACUUAAAGACGCAAUAUUAUCUCGAUUAUAACUCGUUAUGAUAAUUCGAUUUCUACGAUUGGAGGGGAUUAUGGGAUCUCAAUGAUGGUGGCGUCAACUGCCCGGAAAAAAAAUAUACAGUCAUGGAUGUAUUUUAUAUAUACACUGCAAUCGUUCUUGUAAGAACAUAAAAAAAAAAGUUUUUGGCGGGUAAAUGAGACGAAAACGAAAUUAUUCAUAAGGGUCUGCCUCCGCUAAGAGUUCUAAACUGCAAUUAUAACAUUAAACUAAAACGGUAAAAUUUAGUCGGUUUCUAAAGAUUAAAUGAAAAAAAAAACCUAAAUGAACCCAUUAUGUGAGGCGUCGAAGACCUUUUAUUUAUAAUUAUAUUUUAUAAAAGGGGAAAUCGUCUUCGUCCCACACCAAAUGCGCAUUCAAUAAGGCGUUGCGUUUGAGUAAAUUUGGCGAAAUUUUUUAAUACCGUUCAAAAAGAAAUAUGUAUUCCCACAAACAAAUUAUUAUUCACCCUCUAAAACUAGUAUAAACGUUAACAAAUUUUAACACAAAUUUAAAGAGGACAAUUUUUCGUAAAGUAAUUUUCACAAAUUAUCUGUAUCCCUAUUUUCAAACGUGGACUAUGGUCUAAUACAUUGGGUUCGUUCGAAUAUACUAUUUUUGUAACUAUGCAAACCCUUCAAAUGGUAAAUCGAUUCCGUGAGUAGUAUUUGUAUUAGUAUUAAUCCUAUUCCUUAGCCAAGAUAACCCAGAAAUCAGCUGAAAAACAAAAUUUACGCAUCUGUCAUUAGUAUUCGUUGGAUAUUUUAUAGAAUAACUGUUUUGAAUCUAUACGGUUUUUUUCUUAUGUAAAAUAAAGUACUACCACCCGGAUGAAAAAUCCGCAUUUUUCGAGGUACACCACUAAUAAUCUGAAAACCAAUCUAAAAAAAAAAAAAAAAAAACAAACUAAAUACACAAUCGUAGCGGAACUAAUUUAUCAUGUUACUUGUUACAUGGCUACUUUCAGAAUAGUCAGAAUCCAUAAGUCGGUUGCCAAAAAAUCGAGUUAGUCUAUUUAUCACAUGCACGCACGUGCUCCCGAGUGCCGUUUAAAAUCUAAUUUAAAGACACGCGUCUCACUGUCGCGCGUAUAAUAUUAUUUACUUAUUUAAUUCGGAAUGUUCUGUACGGAAACGCCUCGUGCGAACAGCGAGGAAAGUAUUAUAAUAUAAAUUUAUAUAUAAUUGCAUUUUCUUGUAUUAUAGUUUUGUUGUUAUCCCAUUUUGUGAUGUCUCGCAAAGGCCCCGGGGGUACCGAAAGGACUGCAAUCUCGGUCGCGGAUUAUCUCUGCCCGGCGAUAGGUUACGUGCGGGGCCCAAGUCGUUCCGACGUCAUCUCCACGGUAAUAGUAAUAAUAUUAUCGCUUCCGCAGAGAGGUCCCCGGCGCGUUAUUAUCGCCGAGCGUACCUCAAAGUUACCUCGAUAUCGUUUCCGGUAUCUUUUUUCAACGUGAUAUUUUAGCUAUGCGGGUACACGCAAAUAUAAUUAAUCGUUUGUAUCGAUUUAAUAUUCAAACGCACCGGAGACGGUUGCGGUAUAACGGGACACCCAACCGACCGACCCGUAUGAUACGAUCGAAUACGAUUUACCGAAUGAAAAAACACCGUCCGAACCGAUAUCGACGGGCUGGCGGUGCACCGGUGACGGUAUUCCCGGUGGCGGGAUAUCCGGACGACAACCGUCGCCGUUCCGCGGCGGACGUAUCAAUCGGUUUCGCCGGGACAUUUGCGCGUCAAUUCCGUAUGGACCGCGACCGGCGUUUGAAUAACCGUAAACAGCGCUUUUGUGCGCGUGCGCGUCCUGUCGGUACGCAAUAACCGUUGUCGUACGACGGCACACGGUGUGCGCACGGACAACCGUACACGGCGGCGCGGGAAAUCGAACGCGGACCGUUCGGCCGCGUUCGCUUAUUGCCGUCGCGCGGCCGUUAUCGCCGCGGCGGUUACGUGGGGGACGGGUGGGGCGGGGGCGAUACGGUCACGCGACACGGUGAUGCCGCGGCGCGUUGUUAAUGCCGGGGGAAAGCGCAAGCGGCCGCGCGGUGUGACUCGCCGGGCGCGCACCGGCGUACGUGCGCGGUGCGCCCGUACGCCCGAUUAUAGGCGAUUUAUUAUUAUGUAAUGCGAUUUUCUCCGGAACCCGGGCCGCCGUACCUGUGCCGCGCGGUAUUAAAAACCCCCGGGCCCGCGGUUUUACCGCGUCGUCGAUAAAAUAUAAUCGCGGCCGUAAAACUCCGCGGGACGGGCGCGAUCGUUUGUUCGCCGCCGCCGGUCUCGUAAUUGCAUUAUCGGAAACGCGGACGAGCGGUUACCGCCGAUAAGCCGAACCUCGCGCAACCCCCCUCCCCCCCCGGCUGCCGGUAACCGUGUUACCGCCGUACGACCGAACGGCCGCCGCGGAAUUGACGGGCCGAACGAGCGCAAUUAUCGUUGUCGUGCCCGGCCACCGAUUGCCGCCGUAAACCGCGUACAGGCAACGGCCGACCGACCGACCGACUCCCCCCCCCCCACACUCACCGAGCGUGAAGUUCUCGAGAGAGGCGAUUAAAAACGCGCGGUCCUCGGGAAAGGACCUCGCGUCCGACGGUACGCCGAUCGGAAUCUCGCGAGAAACGCCCGGCCCGUCCGGUUGCCGCGCGUCCGAUUACCCGUGACUCGUUUUCGGCGGCGUGUAUUCAAGCCGGACGAUCGGCGGGAUAUCCCCUUUACCUUUUCCCCGAUAUCUGUGCGAACAGCUCGACUGUCGAUUUGUCGAAUUAAACAUCUUUUUGUUUUUUUUUUUCACUUUUUUUAUUACGGAAAAUCGAAAAUUUGUCGUGUCCGCUUCCUUUAUGUAGUCAUUAACAACUUAAUACAAAAAAAAUACUACACGCAUAUUGCGUUCAAAUCGAAAUAUCCCAACCGAAGGACCGAAACAAACUAAUAAUAAUUAAAUUAUUACUGGUACGUAUGUAGUUAUUUGAUUUCGAUGACGAAAAUAAAAUGCGAAUUACUUACAAGCAUGCAUAAAUUAAAAAUCGAUGUUUUUUUUUUUUGUAAUCUAGAUUACAUUGGUAUUAUACAUUGACCCAUCAACCAAUUACAGUAUUUUCGUCCUUCGGAUUAAUUCUAAAUACGCCACCGAUUUGAGUACACUUCUGUAGCGAAUCUAAUAUCAUCCUAAUACCCGUAUAGAACCCAUGAGACGUUUCGAGAUACGGAUUCGAGAAAAUUACUAUACUUAGAGAAAUUAUUGUUUUCAUAGAACUAGGUCUAGUAUAUUAUAUGAGUAAAAUUUAUAAAGCUUGCCAUUCGAGAGAGUAAAUUUUAAAUGAUUUAUCCACGAGAUAUUAUUUUAUUCGUUGGUCGUAAAUUAUUUAAUAAUUAUAUGAGACAGAUUUAUAUACAUUUAAAAUUUGCAACUAACCGUCUAAAACCAUAAAUAAUAACCUUGAAAAAUAUUAAAAAGAAAAAAAAAAAAUCGAAAAUAAUAGAGAGAUCUAAAAUGCCCACACUCUAAUGGCUCUAAAUUAUUUAAUACAAUUUUCUAACAUUUCAAAAAUGAUUAACGCAACGUAAUUUGUUUUGUAAUAGCUAGUACGUAACACCUACGUACCUAGCAUAAAUAAUUAUUAUACAAAAUUAUAUUACUAAAAAAUUUGAUUAAAUAUUUUCUCCGAAGAGAGCCUUUAAAAGAGGGGAUUUUAAACCUUUUUACCAUGUUUAAAUUUUAAAUACUUUUUAAAAUCCUAUUUGAUAUUACUUUUUUUUUUUUUUGAGUUUAAUGGUAUAAUUAGUUUUUUAGUGAUUAAUAUUAAAAGUGCAUAGAAAUGACAAUGCAAAAAUUAAUCUGUUACAAACACGGUUUGUCAAAAUAUUUAAAAGUAAACAUGUUACAUUAAUGUAUAAAUACAAUACAUAUAUCGUCUAAAACUAUCGGAUAAAUAAUAUAACAUGGCUGUGCCCACUUGCGUGUGGUAAACGUAAUGACAGAUGAGAAACAUAUUGAUGGACUUCUAUUAAUAUUUUCAGGGACUUAAAACUCUCUCCCAUAUUUAACCCAUCGGCUCGCUCAUUGUGACGUUGUAAUAUGCGUAUUGCGUACGAAAUAAAGCCAUCAUAACAUCCCGCGAUGCAUGGCUAUG